GGCUUUCAGCUAUCCAGUAUGCUUCUUGUCAAACUGUUAUCAUAAGUUGAAGAAAGCUUCUUUUUGACUACUACCCUUUUCUUGGGGCAAGGAUUGACUUAUUACAUUAGCCUCUCAUCUAGGAUGAAGAAUUUUUGGGCCUCUUCUCCAUUUCAAACAUGUGAAUACAAUUAUGUAAAAAUCUGAGCUAUUACAUAGGUGAACUAAUAAUGAUUGAAGUCCUAAGUUUGGGAUAAAAAUAGAGGUCAUUUGGGAGGUGGUGAGAUUAGAAUCUUUUUACUUUUUUACUUGUGUUUUGGUAUAAAGAGGACCUAGCAAUUGGCACUAUCUUGUUGAAAUAUUAGUGAGGAUUAAUCACACAAAAAAUGUCUGAGCUUGAUUAACACUUCUUGUGGCAGGCUGCCAUUGAAAAGGGUAAGAAUCCAGAGAAUGAUGAAGUCUCAUCUGCUGAAAAUUCAGCUGACGUUCCAGAUCAGGUUGAGUCAGUUAUUUCCCAGAUAAACAAUCUUGCCAUAUCUGCAAAUCCUGUAGUCCCUCCUUCAAAUUCAACCGAGUCUUCUGCCAUGGGAGAUGGUUUGCAGGACAUUGACAAAAAGAUCCGAGCUCUGAAGAAAAAGGUAUGUUCUCUAAUGCUUCUAGUUCUCUGAUGGCAUGCCAUCAUUCGAGAUCUAUGAAGUAAGUUUGAUGCAUCUUACAGCAUUUUAGAGAUAUUCUGGUAUCAUCUUUGUUUGCCAUGCCUUGGAAUUUAUUAUCUACUUCACAGUUGCAUGGUCAAAAAACUCUGUUUCAGUUUUGAUGUACUAAAUGGAUGAUUCAAUUUUGUUUCAAGGUAAUGAUGUGUUUUAUGCAUUCAUUUCUAAACCCAGAAUGGUAUGGUCCACUAAAUGUGUUGGUUUGAAACCAUGCCCUCCUCCAGCUACUCAUUUUAUAUGAUCUCUAAUUUGUUGUGUCCACCUUUAAAUAGCAUAUUUCAGUCCAAGGUGUUGCUUCCAUUUCAACACUUCCUGUCAAAUGUGAUAUGAGGAUUUUCAUUUGAUUUCUACUAAUAGUCGUAUAUUUCUAAAACUGCAGAUAUUUUGAAUCUGGUCAUUGGGAAAAAAACACUCUGCAGUUUUAGAAUGAUGUGGAUUUUUAUGAUCUGAGAAAAAAUAAAUAAAAUCAAUGUGGAUUUUUACACUGGUGAUUUAUCGGUACUACAUUCUUCUGAAACUUGAAGGUUCAAGAUGCAAUUACCCCUCUCUGCUACACUAACCCUGCUUAAUUUGGUGUAGAUCCGGCUGACAGAAGCUCAACAGCAGAAGACCGAAGAGAAGGACAUGAAGCCAGAGCAUCUGGAAAAAAUGGCUAAGCUGGAAAGCUGGCGAAAAGAGUUGAAGCUUUUGGAGGAUAAAAAGGCUGCAUUGGAAGCAGCAUCAUGAAUUUUAGGCUGAAGAAACACAGUUUAAAGCUACGCUAGCCUGGUGGGAUUUUACUGCUGCAUCAAUAUAUUCAUCACGCCCAGAUUUUGUUAAUGGAACGGUGUAUUUUUGUACCUUGUGCACUAGCUAGGGAAAAACAAAGUAGGGUCUAAUUUAUGGUAUUUUUCAGGUAGUACUCCAAUUUUUUCAGACAUAGCUGCGGCUUGAUCUGAUUUGUCCUUGAUUUCUAAAGACCUCGAAACUAGCUGUCGAAACACCAUUUACAAUAUUAGGCUUGUGACAUGGAUGUUUCGUGAAUAUUAGUUAUUUGGACAUUUGAAGGUGUAGUCCCAAAAAACUCGUUGACGCUGUAGUUGGAAGGUUAAUGUUCUCUGGAUAACUAACUGUACAUACAAAACACCUCAGUUUGGAGGAUGUAGUCCAGGUACAAAUGUCUUUAGCUGAACUGAAAACCAAUUUCUUGAAUUCAUGAUAUUUGUUAUCAUUACUACUUUAAAAAGACCAUUUUACUACUUUAGAGCUUAUGUUAGAUCAUUUGUCUUGGAACAACACCAAUUAGGAUGCCUCACAAUAGGCAUACAUCAAGAAAGAUCUUAAAUUAAACCAUCAAAGAAUGUUGAGAACACAAUUUGAAGUAGCCAAGAUAUGCUAUGGUAGGAAAAAUUUUACAUAAAAAUCUGUUACAUUGAACAGUCAAAUAAUUUAAACACCUUACACGCACACAUACUGGGGUCUGAAUGCCAAAGUUCAUAUUGCCAAAACUGAUGACCGGUCAAGUAGUAUUUCUGAGACCAGGUAAAAAGCACUCCAUUUAUAACCUUCAGCUAGCAAGAGGUUAUAGGAUCCGGGUGCCCAAACUUUAAUCUUGUAAAGCAUAUGUCUUGACUUAGAGAUUUAGGAGCAGUCUAUGAGGAUUCAAUAUCUGAUUCUUCCAAUCCUUCUCUGUAGAGUUCAAAUUCAUCAGGAGACCACCGGCAUAUUAAGUUGAGCCGGAAAGUAGCCAUCUUGAUACCAAGCAAACGCUGUGUGACAAGGUGAUUGUUUUCAGAAACUUGCACAGUAUGACGCAAGAAAUAUACAGAAUACUCAGAAAUAUGAUAUUUGGGAAAAUCAACAAACCAGUAUCCGAGCUGCCUCUGGUGACAAUGGCUUCCCUUCUUCACACACAACAUAGUCAGACACAAGCUCCACGACACCUGCUCACCCCGCACGAAAAAGGUCAACGAAUCAGACAGCAUAAAAGAUAAUUAUUGACAUAUCAGACACAACAAAAUCAUGCUACAAUUGUCAACCAGUAAAACGCGAAACAAAAGAGCAGUGAUUGAUAGUUUGAUACCUCUGUUCAACCGAACUGGCAUCCCUUGCUUUCGCAGGAAUGGCUCCAUCUCAUGUGUGAACUGAUCAAGAGGGCCUUCUUGUAGAUCCACCUGAUAGACGAACCAAAAACAAAAACCAUGUACGUACUUCAGGUAAAAAUUGGGGCAAGGCAGUAUGUGAAGAUGCCUUUGGCGUUCUCAGGUCAAAUUUAGCAAAAAUAUUCCCAAACAAUUUAUCUACUUGGAUCAGUGCACAAUAAUCGAUAUGGUUCAAUUAUUAUAGACCAGACAACACAUGGGAACACAAAGGCACCAAAUUUAACCAGAGAAAGCAUCUUAAGGAAGAGCUCUCGAGCAAAUAGCCCUUAUUGAUAGGUGCCAAGAUGGCAUUUAUCUUCUUUCUUUCCUUUUUUGGGGAUAAAACCAAAAUGCCAUUUAGCUUUACAGUUCAUAAAUUGGCAUAUAGCCACAAAAAUGAGUUUGCCAGCGGGAGGUUGCAGAUACCUGGCAGUUUAGUCAGAGGGUGCAGGCAAGGCGGAUGCAAUAUUCAUAAAAGAAACCAUAUUCACAGAAUAACUUUAGUACCUUUUCUGUUGCUAUAGUGCCAGUCCUUGCAAAGUCAUAUUCUUCAUACUGGUUAAACAACCUGACAAUGUUCAAAAUGAUGAGCAAAAAACUGAGAGUGGCAGGGGGAGCAGUAGGCAAACAGCAGGGAUCACAUUCCAGCAAAGAGAAACAGCUAGUACUACAGGCAACAAAGCAUUCAAAGAAUCCUGGCUUCCUUGCAAGGAACAAAAUUACAAUACAAUAUUGAAAAGAAGUGGAAGACUCAUUAAAGGAAUUGUUGGAAACUAGAUAGCGUGCAUUACUAAAUGUUAAGCUGUAACACAAUUAUAUGUAGCACAACACAAUAGACAAAGGUGACAAUAACCACCCACCCACGCACCCAGAAAAAAGAAAAAAUUAAAACUUUCCUUUGACUUAAUCAAGAAGCAGGGUUAUAGUAUGUAGAAUUUCAGUAUCUAAAAUGCAUCAUUGAAUCUGGGUCUUACCUUUGGACCUCUUCCUUUGAUAAGUUAGUAAAGCAAAGGCCCGAAUCUCCACGCACAAGCUGUAAACAAAGGAUAUUUCAAUCCAAACAUUACUUAGAGUAGAUACCACAUAUUUAACAGAUAUAUAAUGUACAUUAGCGCGUCCUACCUUAGAAAUCUUAUGGAGGCCGGAACGAAUCUCAUCGGCAACUGAACGGCCUAGUGCUACCUGCAUGACUUUGUUGGAACCAAGGAAAAAUCUGAAAUGGCAAGAAAUAAUGCUCAAAUACAGUCUCCAUUCUGAUAGUUAAUUAUGAAAGACAAACAAAGUUCCCCCUCGAGAUAUAUGCUUCCCAACUCAAUACCAAUUUAUAUUUGAUAAUACUCCAGAGAAAAAUUGCUUAGGACGAGAAAAUGCAAAGACUUAAUGAUAGCAUGAUCACUGUAUGCACAGAAAUGUACUCUUAAAACAAGCAAUACAGGCCAGACAGCCAAUUCCAGGUUCAGUAAAAUAUAUUUUCUAAAUUAUCCUUUUGUAAAGGAGAAAAGUUAAAAGUAUGGGUUUUGAAAUUUUACGCACGGAAUAGCCAUAACAUGUAGAUCUACACAUGGACACACGACGACUACAUUGAUUUUUUCCUUAACUCUCUCGGGAAAAUAAAAAGCUCAUAACAUGCUACAUUAUUAAUUGCAAAACUAACCUUGCUGUACUCCAGCAAAAGUGAUGUAUUGACUUGGACACGCGGCAAAAUACAUAGUUUUGUAUCACAAUCUUUUUAAACAACUAAGAUAAAGAUUAAUGUUCUCUCUCAACAUUACCAAAACGUCUCUUUGUAGAAAAAAGGUACUCUCUCUUUCCCAUGUUAGUUGUCCACAAUAUUAAAAUGGUUGUCCCAAGUUACUUGUUAAUAUAAAAUCAGGAGAGAAUUGAUUAAUUUUUUUUCCAUUUUACCAUUACAAUUAAUUACUUUUUAAGUGUAAACAAGUAAAGUUACAAAAAAGCUUCUUAAACGAUUAAUUGGUAUCUAAUACGGGGUGGAGGGAGUACAUAUGAAACCAUAAAUAAAUAGACAAAUUAACCAAACUUGCCUGCUAGAAGACUUAAGCUGAUCUCUGAACUCCUUAAACUUGAGAUUUCUCAUGUUCUCGAAACUAAAUACAUACACUGAACUAUACUUUUCAGCACAUUCCCUUAUUGAAUUAACAAUGUUUUCUUUGUGCUCCUUCCCCUUCUUCUUCGUCUUAGAUAAAGUAACUGCAAUCAAAUUCCACAACACGUGAGCUUAAACAGUAAUUAAUUCAACAAUCAUGAGCUUAAUACAACAAAGAAAUCACUAUAAUGGAUAUACACACAUCAACUAGAAACGCUUAAACGGUAAUUGAUUCAACAAUCAUGAGCUUAAUAACAACUUAGAAAUCACUAAAAUGGAUAUAUAUACACACAUCAACAUUAAACGCUUAAACUGUAAUUAAUUCAACAAUCAUGAAUGUAGUAACAACUUAGAAAUCACUAAAAAUGCUUAAGCAGUAAUGAAUUCAACAAUCAUGAACGUAAAAACAACUUAGAAAUCACUAAAAAUGCUUAAGCAGUAAUGAAUUCAACAAUCAUGAAUGUAAUAACAACUUAGAAAUCACUAAAAAUGCUUAAGCAGUAAUGAAUUCAACAAUCAUGAGCUUAAUAACAAGCUAGAAAUCACUAAAAAAUGCUUAAACAGUAAUGAAUUCAACAAUCAUAACAACUUGGAAAUCACUAAAAAUGCUUAAGCAGUAAUGAAUUCAACAAUCAUGCAUGCAAUAACUUAGAAAUCACUAAAAAUGCUUGAGCAGUAAUGAAUUCAACAAUCAGAUGUGGAAAAUUCUAGGGUUUUGCUGUACCGGCUCUGUUACGCUUCGACUUCGGCAUUGCUUCUUUGAUUUUUUGGUGAAAGCUAAAACCCUACAACUUGCUUUGCUUUGGAAAGAGAAGUAUUCAGUCGACCGCGCGUUUAGUUUUAUGUCUUUGUGCUGGUUUGGGCCUGUAAUGGGCCUAAGGGUUUACAGGCCCAGUUAUCUGAAGUUGGGCUAUAUUGUUGGGGGUCAAGUUCAGCAGAAAAUUGCAUGUCAUAGAUCCAAAUAUGGGUGAUUUUAGAUAUUUAACCUCAAAUAAAAACGUCUUUGAAGUAAUAUGGGUGACUCUUCCUUACUUUUUAAUAUACUAAAAGUAUCAUUUUACCCUUCCACACCUUAAAUAUAUUUUUAAAUCUUUCCAUACUCAUUUAUCUCUCAACUUUUAUUUUUUAUUAUUUUUACUUUUAAAUUUUUUUCUUUACUUUUACUAUUUUACUUUUUUCACUCUUUUUUUUUUCUUUAAAUUUAUUAUUUUAAUUUUUAUUAUUUUUAAUUUUUAAUUUUUCCUUUAAUUUUAUUUUCAUGAUUUACCCAUUGCAAUAAGCUCAGGUGACAAGAAAUUUCAUAAAGCUACCAAAAAAGUUCAUCUCAAAGCUUGAGCUUCGGAUUUCUCUCUUCCCUUUAGUGUAAUUGCAUUCUAACUUUAGGGUUUUUGAUUUUGUCAUUCAUCUCUCUGCACUUUAGGUAAUUUCUCUCAUUUUGUCUUAAUCUUAUUGCAUGCAUUUGAAGUAUUUGUUACCUAACAAUUUUUUUGAGCUAAAAACCACUUUUCUUUUCCGCGAAUCACAUUCUAUAAUGCAUAGAUUAAUUUAUAAACUCUAUUUUUUUUAUCUACAUCACCUUGAUGAAAAUGCGUUUGGGGUGGUUUCUCUACUCACUGAUCUCACUAUUUUCCAGUCAGUAGGUUGUUUAGAUUUGGAUUUUUGGUGUUUUGUGUAGCCAUUGAGUCAAUUUUUUUGUCCAAUAAAUUUUAUUUUGCAGCUUGAUUCUUGUUUUUUUGUUAAAUUUUAAUUUGAUAGUUUUUUUAAUCUUUAUAACUCUGCAGAUCUUGGUAAUCACGUCUAGCAAGACAAAUCGUGUCGAGUACUUUAUUGAUCCUAAUGAUUGAUUCAAGUCAGACCCCCGUUGGAGAGGGGAUUCAAAUUAUCAUACAACGAUAACAAGCUUUUUGGAUGACACACAGUUGUCAUUGUUAGAGAAAUAUUUUUUUGGAAAUUUGAUGAAAUUAGGUACCAUAUUUGGCAGAUUUUGAUUCGGGUGCUUCGCAAUCCAUUUUUUAUCAGAAACAUCCCUUCACUGUGACUUUGAAGCAUUUGAUAAUCUGUCGAGCUUGAACACUACUUUUUGGGUGUUCAUCGAGUGUGGAUUGAAUACGUCGAAAUGGUAGGUAAACUAUCUUUAAACUUUUUAUUUUGUCAUUUUUGUACUCAUGGUAACACAUAUAUUCUACUUGUAUUCAUUUUUCAUGUAUUGCAUUGUUAGUUCUAUGGGAAAAGCCAGUGUUCUUAUCCCCUUGCUUUAAUCAUACUGCCCUGGACCUUUGCCUCCAUGCGAUUUCUUCCCUGUUGGCUAUGUAUUCAAAUUUCAUAUUCAGAGUUAAUCUAGAGGUUAUUUUUUCUGCCUCUAAAGCUCUAUAUUCCUGUGUCUCCUCUAGUUCAAUUAGUUGUCUCAACACCUCUUGCUUUUGGGCUCUCAAGUUUUGCUCCACUCUUUCAAUUUCCCUUUCAAUGCUCUAAGUUUUGUAAUCAAGAUAUAAUCUGGUUUCUUAGUGCAAUUAAAGCAAUCCCACCACCUUUUUACUCUUUCCUUGAAACUAUCCGUCCAACCACCAAUUCUCAAACUUGAAAUGGGAUUUAGUGGUCUCCCAAUCACCACAUUGUAACAUUAUAGGCGAGUGAUCAGAGAUUACUCUAGGUAGUAGAUUCUGCCUUAUAUUUCUAAAAUUUGAUGCCCAUUCUUCAGAGAAAAGUAUUUUGUCCAAUCUGGAAGUUGUUAGGUGUCUGUUCCCUUUUUUCCAACUGUACAUCCCCUCUAAUAAUUCUACGUCCACCAGCUCCAUGUCCUCGAUGAAAUCUGAAAAAUCUAUCAUGCCUUUGUUGAUUCUGCUGCAGUUUUUCUUUUUCAAUGGAUGUCUAACAGUAUUGAAGUCGCCACAAAGGAUCCACGGUCUUGUAACUAUACCUCUGGCUGCUCCGAUUUCCCACUAAGUUUCUUCUCUUUCCUCUCUUUCACUUGGAGCUUAGACUCCUAUAAGAUGGCAACUGAGAUCUUGGCAUUUCCCUGUGAAACUACCGGUUACAAAAUACCUCCCCACACUACUAAUUUCCUCCACCCACAUUCUCUUAUCCCACAUGAUAACUAUACCACCCCUAGUUCUGCUAGCCUCCAGUUGAGCGUAGUUUACCCACAUAUUCCCUCAUACUUCUUUGACUAUGUCUCUUAGUCCCUUUUUAUCUGCUUUGGUGAUGGAUGUGUUGAUGCGGCGUAUUCAAGGAGAGGUGCCUUGGUGUAUGCUUUUUGCAGAUGAUAUAGUUUUGAUUGAUGAAAUGCAGAGGGUGUGAAUGAUAAAUGAGAGGUGUGGAGACAAACUCUUGAGUCUAAAGGGUUCAGGUUGAGUAGGAACAAGACAGAAUAUUUGGAAUGCAAGUUUAAUGAUGCGAGGUUAGAGAAUGAGGUGGUAGUGAAGUUGGAAUCACAGGUGGUAUGUAAGACGGAUAGUUUCAAGUAUAUCGGGUCCAUGAUUCAGGGUAACAGUAAGAUUGACGAGGAUGUCUCACACUGUAUUGGGGCGGGAUGGAUGAAGUGAAAACUCGCUUCGGGGGUGUUGUAUGAUAAUAAGGUAGCGCCCAAGCUUAAAGGCAAAUUCUACAGGAUGGCAGUUCGUCCGGCUAUGUUGUAUGGAACGGUGUGUUGGCCAAUUAAGAACUCCCACAUUCAAAAAAUGGAGGUGGCGGAAAUGCGGAUAUUGCGUUGGAUGUAUGGGUUGAUUAGGGGGAUAGAGUUCGAAAUGAGACUAUUAGGGAGAAGGUUGGUGUGACUCCAGUAGAGAAUACGAUGCGAAAAGUCUGAUUAAGAUUGUUCAGACACGUGAUGAGGAGAGGCAUGGAUACCCCAGUUCGUAGGUGUGAGAGGCUAGCUUUAAAUAGUUUUAGGCGGGGUAGAGGUAGGCUGAAGAAGUAUUGGGGAGAGGUGAUUAGGUGCGACAUGGAGCAGUUACAGCUCAUAGAGGACAUGACCCUAGAUAGGAAGAUCUGGAGGACGCGAAUUAGGGCAGAAGGCUAGGGUCAGUUUGGGUCGCUAGUGUAGGGCAUUACUUGGUGGGAGUAUUAUUCUUGUUAUGAUACUUUGUUUCAUGCUUUACUACGAAUCUGUUUACUUUUCUCUGUUUACUAUUACUUGUGGUUGUCGUAUUUAUGUUAUGCCAUCUUGUUCCAUGCCUUACUAUGAAUUUGUUUAUUAUUUUGUAUCUCAAGCUGGGGGUCUAUCGAAAAUUGCCUUUCUACUUCUUUAGAGGUAGAGAUAUGGACUGCGUACAUCUUACCCUCCCCAAACCUCACUAUGUGGGAAUACACUGGGUUUAUUGUUGUUGUUGUUGUUUAAGUGCCAAAAAUAUAUAUGUUAAAGGAAAACAUGUGCUGCCCGAAUGUUUAGUGUUUGGCUCUUGUGUUGUGGAUUCGAAGAAGUGAUUUUAUUCACUUGCAACUUGUGGUCGACCUUUGAAUAACACAGUAUUAUCACUUGUUAUCCUAAUCUAUAUUCAGAUUGGCUAAUAUAUACCUGCUGUCUUUGUAACUUUGGUGUAAAGUUGUAACUUUUCUAUUCACUAGUAGAGCCAGGUAUAUAGUUAGAGGGGCGAAGGGGGGUCAUUCAAUUUUUAGUUUAAUCUUGAUUUGUCUACCUGUUUUAACUUUAUUUUCAUUUCAUUGUAGAAACAAAGCCAAUAUUGUUAACAAGAUCCCUCUUGUUUCAAUUCAUCGUGCGAUCACAAGGUUUAGCUCAUUUCUUGGUUGUAUGAUACUAAGAAGGCGCUUGGCCGUAGAAUUUAUAAAGCUGGAGUUGAAGAUAGAGUAAUGUUUAAUUUGUAUGUGGGGUUACUGAUAUUUCAGGAAGUUAGCUGAACAAAUCGCGAACAAAUAAUAGAAACCAGCAAUUGAGGUACAAUGUCUAUCCCCUCCUGGCUUAUUUUAUAACUGAGCUACUGUUAACAUUGUAUAUCCACAGGUAACAAAACCACCAAUCCCAGUGGCACCAAUUAUAAAUGAAACAGAAGACUGCAUUAUUAUCGAUGUUGAAAAUUACAAGGCCACUGGUUAUUCUGACGUGCCAAUGUUUGUGCAGCAUACUGAAGCAAUGAUGGAGGAAAUUGAUAUGAUGGUAAGCUUUUAUGAUUUAUAUAUCUUGUUUAUGAAUAUAAUUUUUGUGGAUUGCCAUUGAUGUGUUAAAUCUUUGAUUCAGGAUGAGGAAAUUGAGAUGGAAGAUGCAGAAGAUUGGUCAGUUGUGGACAUAGACAGCUCUGAUAAAAAGAACGAACUCACUGUAGUAGAAUACAUUGAUGAUAUCUAUGCUUACUACAAGAAGGCUGAGGUGGAGAUGUUAUCUCCACUCUCUCUAUUUGUUUGUUAGAAGUUUUUUUUUGUUUACAACUUGUACAUGCUCAUUACCCCACUGUGUGAAAAUAUACUGGAUUUGUUGUUGUUAUUGCACAUGCUCAUUAGGAUUAUGGUGUGUAGAGUUAGCAGAAGUCCCAUAUUUUUUAACUGACAAUCUAAUUCUUUUGGAUGAGAUCUCAUUAAGCUUAAUAGAUUGUCAAAUUACUCACAAAAGCUAGUCUAAUUUCAAUAUGGACUGCAAUUUUUAGUUAGUAAAAUAAUAGGUGCAGAACAUAGGAUAUAUAGACACAUGGAGGGUAUACUUGGGUUGUUUCUGUUGUGAUGUUAUUCUAUCAAAGAUGAUUACUGUUUUAAUUUUAAUUGGAAAUCUAGAAAGAAAUGGAGGUGUAUUUUUUACUCUUUUCUUUCAAUGUUAUUUUCAAUUGCAGGUCGCUGGCUGCAUCCCUCUAAACUAUAUAGAACAACAAUUUGGUAUCAAUGAGAGGAUGAAAGGCAUCUUCAUUGACCGACUGAUUGAGGUAUACAGUGUUUGUUAUUGCAUGUCAUUUCUAGGUUUUAUGAAGAAGAAUGUGAUAAUUCUAGGUGUCAUUUAACGUCUAAUCCAAUUUAUAGGUUCACUACAAGUUUGAACUGAUGGAGGAGACCUUGUAUUUGACUAUGAAUCUCAUCGAUAGAUUCCUGACAGUUCAGUCAGUGAUUACGAAAAAACUACAGCUUGUUGGAAUAACAACUUUGCUUCUUGCCUGCAAGUAUGAAGAGGUUUAUGUACCUGUAGUGGAGGAUCUAAUUUUGAUCUCUGACAAGGCUUAUGCCAGAAAAGAAGUGCUUGAAAUAGUUAGUUUAAAGACCCAAAUCUUACAUUAUCAGGACUUGUAUCGCCAUUUUGUUUUUCCUCGCUAAAUGAUUUCAAUCGUUUUCUUAUCUACAGGAGAAAUUGAUGGUUAAUGCCUUACAGUUCAACAUGAAAGUACCUACAAAUUAUGUGUUUAUGCGGAGGUUCCUUAAAGCCUCCCAGUCUGAUAUAAAGGUCGGUUAAACGUCUUUGUCACAUGAAGAAGUCACGCAACAAUCUGAAUCACUACUCAUACAACUUUUUGUCAUUGUUUAAAUCAGGUGGAGCUCGUGUCUUUCUUCUUGAUCGAGUUAUGUCUGGUUGAAUACGAAAUGCUUAGAUUCCUAUCAUCAAUGCUUAUUGUUGCAGCUAUCUUUACUGCUCAGUGCACUCUCAGUGUGUCCAGGGAGUGGAACGCAACCUGCGAGAAGCAUAGCAGCUACGACAAGAAUUAAAUUUUGUAAGUAUAUAUUUUUUUAAAGAUACUUGUAAAUGUACAUUUCUUUAUCGAAUAGACAAAGAUGUGUAAUUGUGUGCCUUAUUUUCUACUACAGGGAAUGCUCGAAAUUGAUGGUUUAUUUCCAUCAGAAGGCAGCAGUUGGGAAGCUUAUUAGCGUGCACCGAAAGUACAAUACUGUAAAUAUGGCAAUGUUACAAGAUGUGAACUAACUUUUUUUUUGUUAGAAGCCUGGUUCUAGGAUAAGAAGAACACAUAAGGGGGAACGUCAUGCUUUGCAAGUAGUUGUGUUGAAUGAAAUUGUUGAUGUGUGCGCAACAUAUAUUGCCCCAGACUCUGGGAAGGGGGAAGGGUGUCUUUAAGUUCUUUUGCUACUGAGAGAACCAUGUGUUUAUUUAUUUUUUUCUUGUACAUUGUUUGACACUGCUGGUGUUUUGUGAAAUAUCUUGCUUUUCAUACUUUUUCUUGAAAACAAAUAUUAGAAAGUUAAAAUUUCUUCUUAACAGUAUUGGACCAACGUAUUUAUUAACUAGGUCCCUAUUUUAACUCGUCCAAUAUUAUUUGGGCUAAACAUGUAACAUAAUGAUUGAUACAAUGCUAAGUGUGUAUCAAGAGAUUCCAACCAACACAAGAACAACAAGAUGAACAACAAAGUGCUAGUGAAUCGAAAAUGGCCACACACAGCUUCACUAGGCUUGCAACACUUGUUUGAACUAGAAAAGUGAGUUUAACAAAAAGAACAACAAAGACAAUAUUGCUAGUGAAUCGAAAGAGCCCCACACGGCUUCACUAGACUUUUAUAUUCAACAACACAAUGUUAACAAGAUUUAAAAAGAAAGAGAUAGAAAUUUGACACACAAUAUUCAUUAAUCUAAGAACCCUAACAAGAGAAAGGACCCUAAGACUAAUAAAUAUCAAUACCAAGUUCUUACUUGGACCAAGAGGAACUCAAAGAACAUCAAGAACCUAGUUCUAGCCAAGAUACAACACUAGUAUCACUCUACUAGUGAGAAUUUGGUUUUGGCCUCUCCAAAUGAUGAGAAAGAGAAGUAAAAAAUGUACAAGUCUUUGUUUCUUGAAUAAUAGGAAUGAACUAAAGCAAGACUAGCCCUAUUACAUGGCUUAUAUAGUCACUUAGAAAGGAGGGACAAAGACCAAAUUACCCUUGGCAUUUAAGUGGGUGGGUUUGGGGUGUCUUGGUGGGCCUCUUUACAUUUUAUUAAAUAUAGGCCCUUAGAUGGGCUCACAAGGGCCUCACACGUGGCCAAGAAUGUGAACAAGGCUUGGAGUCGUUGCAACUCACGUGCUUGGCUUCGUGUAAAAGGUCUCGAGCUAGGAAUUCCCGUAUCAAUGAUUGAAGCGUCAUAAGCAAAAAAUGCAUAUUGAAACUUGCGUUGAGCAAAAGAAUAUUAGUAACAAUUUGUAUUUGAUGUUUAUAAUCACAGUACCACAAUUUUCUAAACUAAGUCUUGCCCAUGACACAAGAGUUGCAUAUAUGUUAAUAAUCUAAUCACUGCAAUUAAAGAAUAAACUUUUGUCUCUUGGACAAAAUAUUCAAGUUAAACAAUAUAGCAUUUGUACAAUAAUUUUCUAAACUAAGUCUUGCCCGUGAGGCAAAAGUUGCAUAUAUGUUAAUAAUCUAAUCAAUGCAAUUAAAGAAUAAACUUUUGCUUCUUGGGCAAAGGUUUUCAAUUUCAACAAUUUUCUAAACUAAGUCUUGCCCAUGAGGCAAGAGUUGCAUAUAUAUUAAUAAUCUAAUAAAUGAAAUUAAAGAAUAAAUUGUUGUCUCUUGGGCAAAAGUUUUUAAUUUCAACAAUUUUCUAAAGUCUUGCCCAUGAGGCAAGAGUUACAUAUAUGUUAAUAAUCUAAUCAGUGCAAUUAAAGAAUAAACUUUUGCUUCUUGGGCAAAAGUUUUUAAUUUCAGCAAUUUUCUAAAUUAAGUCUUGCCCAUGAGGCAAUAGUUGCAUGCAUAUAUAUUAAUAAUCUAAUCAAUGCAAUUAAAGAAUAAAAUGUUGUCACUUGGGCAAAAGUUUUCAAUUUCAAUAAUUUUCUAAACUAAGUUUUGUCCAUGAGGCUAGAGUUGCAUAUAUGUUAAUAAUCUGAUCAGUGCAAUUAAUGAAUAAAUUAUUGCCUCUUGGGCAAAAGUUUCAAUUUCAACAAUUUUCUAAACUAACUCUUGCUCAUGAGACAAGAGUUGCAUAUAUGUUAAUAAUCUGAUCAGUGCAAUUAAUGAAUAAAAGGUUGCCUCUUGAGCAAAAGUUUUCAAUUUCAACAAUUUUCUAAAUUAAGUCUUGCCCAUGAGGCAAGAGUUGCAUAUAUGUUAAUAAUCUAAUCAGUGCAAUUAAAGAAUAAACUUUUGCCUCGGGGGCAAAAGUUUUCAAUUUUAAUAAUUUUCUUAACUACGUCCUGCCCAUGAGGCAAGAGUUGCAUAUAUGUUAAUAAUCUAAUCAGUGCAAUUAAAGAAUAAAUUUCUGCCUCUUGGGCAAAAGUUUUCAAUUUCAAGAAAAAGGAAAAGAUCCUCAAGAUAGAAUCUAUGUCAUAGAGAGGGUUGUGAUUGUUUCCAUGUGGAUUUGUAGGUAUGAGAAUAUCUUUAAGAAUUGCCUGAUCUAGCUGCAGACCAAUGCGUCUCUCUAGAUCAGACCUGCAGGAAGUCGAUGUUGAUGCUGCUAUUGCAGAUUUUAACAAACUUGAAAAAAAGCCAUUAGCACUGUGCUUUUCCUGGAUUGUGUUGGUAGUAAGCCAGAUAUUAUUUCAACGAUGAUCCUUUGUCUUUUCUACAAUUCCAAAUCCAAGAAGUUUUCUUUAACCAACUGAGGGUCCUUGAUAAACAAGCCCUGAAGAGAAUUUUGGGCAUAAUUUAUCAAAAUUCUGCUGAUAAUGUCUUGUUUAAGACCUUUUAUUUUUACUGCUGACAGAACUCUCUGAAAGAAAUCCAGAUUUAGCAUCGCGAGUGAUUUUCCCCACCAGUCUGAUGGUGUCUCAGAAUCAACGCAUUAAACAGGUUUGGGUGGAAAAUUAUACUCUAACUUUGACAAGUCAGAUGUUAGCUGCUCUUUACAGGCAUUGUUUGCAAUUGCAUUUAUUGGCUGCCUGACAAGAUUGACUUUUUCAGAUACCGGUAGUAAUGUUUCACAGCGAUGAAGAACAGAUAUCGAGUUGGAUAUGUUUGGAAAUACCGCAUCCUUAAGGAAUACCUUAGUAUGAAUUUCCAGGUUUUUCUCGGAGAUAUCUUCUGUCAUUUUCAUGAAACUGGCUGCACAUCUGAGUAACGCCAUGUUUGAUAUGGUAAUCUCAACGUUCACUUCAUAGCAGAACUUUGCAGCAAGUUCAAAUGCAUCAGAUCCGCCAGGAAGACCAGUAAGAUUGAUUCUUGAAACCUUUGUAUCCCUCGACUCUAGCAACAACUUUCUAAUUCUUCCACUUCACGAAACCAGAGGGAACUGCAAAUAAUGACAAAUUAGCAAUCACAUUAGAAAUGUAUCCAAGAUAUUCUUCUUUCAUUUUUCUUAAUUUUAACACGAAGCACAUAACUUAAGUUCUGUAGUUUUGUUUUUGCAUUUGGCUAUUGAAUUUUCUUUUCUCCUCAACACAACUGUAUUGAUAUCGGUAGCCUACUUAUAAUGGUUAAAACAUUAAUCUUUUUCAAGGUACUUUAGACUAGCCAUUUCUUUGCACAACUUCUGUUUUUCCAUAGACUUAAGUAUUGCAAUGAUGAUGAAAAGCGGUAGAUUAAAUUACACGAGAGGAAGAAGAUUGCACACUUUAUUUUUGUACCUUAUGAAGAGCAAAACUGGCUGAUCUGACUUCUAUAGUAAGAUCACUCGAAACAUCAGAUAUUGGCCUGCAAUAGAAGAUAUAGUCAAUGAUCAAAAGUUGGAAACUUACAUUUUAAAAAAAAUAAUUGCCUAAGGUUUCAUGCAUGCGCAACUUACAUCUCAAGAAUACAAUGCUGGAUGUAUGGAGUCUUAAAGCUAUCUAAAUUCAAACGAUGAAACCUUAACUCUUCGGAGAGCAUAAGUUAGCCUAAUUUUUCGCUUGUACAUAUGACCAUAAAUUAGGACCAAAAAUAGCAUAAAAACACAAUCUUGAAUGAAUAAAAAUGUUGAAACAAAGUUAACAAUACCCUCUGUGUGUGCUGUUUUUGGAUUCAAUCUAGCAAAGUGCCAGACAUUUUCUAGUGUCUUUAAAAUGUGGGGUGGAGUAAUCUAGCAGCUAGUUGCAAAACUCAUCUGUACUAACUAGAGGGCCUUCACAAGAUACACAUAUUGGAAACUAGGAAAAUAAUUAUUGAUGUCUACACCAUUCACACCACAUCUUGAACUGGAGAAUUGAACACAUUGGACUUUAGAGGUUUAAAAGGUCAGCUAUUUGGUUUGUCAUUUUCAAUGAUUGCAGCCUUAGAAACUACUCAUCUAUAGUCAUUAUCUAGAGUAUAUGAUAUUAACUUUAUGAACUGAUAGAAACUCUACAAUCUUAGAUUUUAAGGUAAGUUCCAUCACAAUCAGUUUCCAAAGCUAAAAGUAUUGCCAUUUUCACUUACCCAGCACUUGAAUGUGGUCUGUCAUUAGUGGAGAAGUCUGGACUUUCACUAAGGGAGUUCCGAAUAUAAAUAGGUGAACACACGAAAGAAAUCAAGGGAUUCAGUAUCUACUAUAUAUACAUAAAAAUAUACUUUUCCCCUUAUAUAUAUAUAUAGCGUAAUUCUUUCACGAAGGCCCUUGUGAUAACGACCCUGGCUUCCCCCGUCUUUCAUAAAUACAUUUAUUAUUCAGAUAUUUUGGUGGUUGUAGUUCUCUUCUAGUGCCAAAUCCUACUACCAUUAGAGAUUUUAAACACAUUACCUGUUGCUUUAUGUUAUACAAGCUAAUAGCUAAGGUGCUCUUUCUUAGAAUCAACAAGUUAGUGCUUCUUUAAUCUCUAAAACAUAGGCUGGAUUCAUCCGAGAUGGAAAACACAGCCUUUCCCUCCAAUAUCAAACCCUCGUAACUACUCAAACACAAUUAUAAUCACAAUGACAAAGUCCCCACAAUCUGUUCGACACAAUUCCUCAUCGUCUUCUAAUGCUAAUUAUACCACUAGUUUGAAAUACUUGAACUAAUUUCUUGUACCACCUUGACCUUAUACGUUUGACCUUCCCAAAAUAUGUUACGAUCAACAUCAACUCCCAUGUUAACAGCCUUUCCCUCCAAGACCAACCCUCACAACUACUCAAACACAAUUAUAAUCGCAAUAACAAACUCCCCACAACCUGUUCGACGAAAUUCCUCAAUGAUAAAUAUGUUACUACAACAAUAGCAUAUCCCAAGUUCAACUUACGUUCACCUCCCCCAAAGUCAAAUCAAUAUGCUAAUUGUAUAACGAGCUAAAAUUACCACAAUGCAUCAAUAAGCUAAAAUUACCACAAUGACUUUUGAUGAUGAAUUUCAUACCUGAAGAACCCUUACGACAAAAGUCGAUUCUGCGAAUGUUUGAAAGUCGAUUCUGGAAUUUGGAAGAAAGAGAGGAAGAAAGAGAUUUAAUGAUUUGGGCAACUUAGCCUCGGGCUUUAGAGAGUCAUCGUAUGGGUUGAUUCUGGAAUUUGGAAUAAAAAGACGAAGAAAGAGAUUGAACAACGAAUAUUUUGGAGGAGGGUAUUUUCGUUCAAAAAAUAUGACUUAACAAGUAAAGGCUAUUUUAACAAAGCUAUUUUAUUUUGGGCUAAAAUCUGAAAGUCACUCUAAUUUGGGUCUAUUUUUUAGAAUAACCCCAAGUUCAGAUAUGACCCUGAAAUGAGAUAUUCUUGAUAUUUUGUACCCGGUAAGAAAAAAGUCUUACAAAACUAACCUAUUAGGUGUGCUUUUGAUUUUUUAUCCUGUUUAACAAUUUUUUACCAUGACGCAGAUAUUUAAAUUUUAUUCAUAAGACAGAUGUUCAUAACAUUUAACAAUAGUGAACCUGCACAAUUAACAAGAAAUUUUGCCUUGUAUGCAAAUUUUAUAACUUACUUAUAAGUUCUAUUUUUUGCGUAUAUGACGGAUAUUCGAGAAAAUUUUAGAUAGUAACUCUCUUCAGUUGAGCAGAAGUCAUGCAACAAACAAAAGUUAGAGUUAAGGUCCCAUCAUACAUAAAGUUCUAAUUUUUAUCAAUUAGACAGACGUUCAUGACAUUUUAAGACAAUGCAGGUGUUCGAUUGCCCAUAGACCUUGUUGUAUAAGCAAAAUGUAAGAAUUUAUUAAGUGAAGAUAGAUCGAAUACUUUGAGAAAUACUGGCGUAAUUUUCUCUUUUACUAGAUUCCAGAAUAAAAGGUUCGGGUUGAAUAGUAAAAAAAUCAUUUAUUAGACCACAAUAUAGUUAAAUGUGAACAAACUCACAAUUGUCAUAAGUAAUGUAACUAUUGAGCUUAUGGACAAGUAGUCACUUGGGUGAAAUGUUGACAAUGUAUGGUCAAUAAAAUCAAAAGAUAUACUGGAGGCAAAGUAUUAUAUGUAUAUAUUAUUAUACACUUUUCAUAUAAUGUAUGUGUAUACUGUAUACAUUUUUAUGCAUGUAUUUUUGUACAAUAAAUUUAUAAUUAACACAUAAUCAGUGUAUAAAUAAAUACACACUAAUUAUAUACAUAUUAUAUAUGUCUCAGAGAUAUUUCGCGAAGGCAGUGAUUAGAGACUGAAAUCUUCACGGUAUCAUAGCAAAGCUUAUAAUUGUGCUUUUCAUAGCAACUUCACAAUCUUUAAGAACUUUCAAUGGACUGUCAAAGACCUAAUAGGGUUGAACGAAACUGAGAUUACAUCGAUUCCUGCAAGAACUCAUGUUCACACUGCAAUAUAUCAAGCUAGUACAUUAACUAAAUAAAUCCUAAAAUCAUAAACAUCUCUUCAACAAAUUCUAAGACAACAACAAUGCAGGGAAGAUUGCUACAACAACAAAUUCAACGACAUUAACUUUGUUAAGACAGUAACUUUAGGAGAUUCAGUUGGACAUUGAAAAAUAGGACAUUUUGUUCUAAUCUGAAUCGAGUGAGUUACGAUUUGAAAAAAAGGCCUAAAUUAUAUUUUGGAUUCAAUAGUUCAAAGUUGGGUCACUUUUGCCGAUCGACGGAUCACGUUUCUAUUGAGAAUUGACCCUAAUUCACUUAUAACUUGUUUGGACAAAUACACACUCCUGCUUUCUAUAUUUACAAUCUCAAAAAACUGGGUAAAAUGGUUUGAUGUCCUCUUUACUAUGUUGGUUGUGUAAGUUGGACACUUCUACUUACAUGUUGGUCAUCUGGACCCCUGAACCCACUAAAAAUAACAUUUUAAACACUUUUUGGCGAGUGUAACACACUCUCGUCGCAUCAGCUGCCAUGUCAGCUUUCACGUCUACCACAUCAGCUUCCACAUCAUUUUCAGGUAUUAUAUUAAAUUCCAUGUCAUUUUUAAAAUGAUACAUAAGAAAUUAAAUAUUAAAAUAAAUUUAAUUAAAUAAAAAAAUAUAAAUUGUAGAAAAUUUUAAAUAAUCAUGUUUUUACUUUUGCUCACAAAUUAAAUAUCAAAUUCAUUCCAAAUAAUUAAUAUACUUCUCCAACUAAUUUAAACUUUUAACGAUAAAUUUAUAUAUACAUUAAAAAUUAUUUCAUUAAUAAUAUAUUUAAUCAUAACAAUUUUUUAAUUAAAAAAGAAAGAAACUGUAAUUUGCGGUCUUCUUUUUCGUCCCCUCCACCCCCACCCUCACCCCCCACCAACAGUCUUCUUCUUCGUCCAAAAUUCUAUAUUUUUUAUCUUUUUUUUUAAUUCUUAGUAAUUUCAUUGCUCUUCGGAAAACAAGAUUUGAGGGAGUAUAUUAUUGAUUGCCGAAAAACAAGAACUCCCUCAGUUUUCAAGAAAAAUUGCUGCUAAAUUUUCAGGAAAAAAAACUCAACUUCACCAAGAACCAAAUUUUCAAAAACCCUAAGUGAAAUAAUCAAAAAAUAUUUCAAUUGAAUUGUUCAAAAGGAGCUAAACUUUGAUUUUCAGAUCAAUAAACACAAAAACUUGCACCAAAACACUGUCAAAAGCAAAGUUUUUUUUUUCCAGAAUUUGUUUCCUACAUCGAUGACCAAUAGUAUCAUCGUCAAAUUUGUGAAAGAUGAUUCUAUUUCUACAGUUAAAAACACAAGUCAAGUGGGGAAGAGCUGGACUGGAGCUGGGGGGGGGAGGGGCUGAACGGGGGAGGGGGUUGGGAAAGUUUUUUUUUUGUAUAAAUUUAUUAUUUUUAAAAGUAUUUUUAAAUUUAAAAAGAUGGAGGAAAAAAAGGAUCUUUUAAAAUUUUUUUAAUAGUAUUUUUUUUUCAAACAAAAAUAUUUUAAUAUAAAAUUGAUCAAAAAUUGAUCCCCACUCGCACUCUAGAUGCGUGCUUGCACGCGCCUCGUCCUAGUCAGUCCUUUUAAUGCCACAUAGGCCUGAUCAAAGGUUAAAGGGUUUGAAAUAUUACUUUUUAGUGGGUACAGGGUCCAGAUGACAAACAUGUAAGUAGAAGUGUCCAACUUACAAAACCGACAUAGUACAAGAAUUCAUCGAACCAUUUUGCCAAAAAAUUAUAAUAAAAACUACUUCUUUUUUUAGUUGUCUAUUCUAAUAAUCGAAUUUUGAAAGCCUGCCAAACAAAUGUAUUAUCUAAUUUCGUUGGGUGACAAGUAACUCAUGAAAUCAAUCGAGAUGCAUAUAAACUGAUCCAAACACCACAAUUAUCAAUCCUCCAACCAAAAUUCACUACUAAUAGGACAAUACAUCAAUAAUAAACAGAAGGUAAGGGUCAAAAAGAAGGUUAUAUUGGAAAGUAAGGGUAAAAAAGAAGGUUAAUUUUUCAAUGCAUCUGUCCAUCUUUAUUCGUCUAGUAUAAUAAAAUAGGUGCUGAAUAAUAUUUAAUUACUUUUAAAAAAUUAUUACAUAAUUUAUUAUUUUAUACUCCCUCCAUUUCGAAUUAGUUGUCCCUCUUUCUAAAAAUUUUUGUUUCAAUUUACUUGUCCAACUUAUCAAAUUAAGACCAUUUUACACUAAUUCUUUCCAUUUUAUCUUUAAUGAGUAUUAAAUAAUCAACACUUUUCAAAUUUUUUGAAAAUAACAUUUUUAUAUUAUCAGUACAAACUGUAUGACUUGACUUUUUUUCCUUCAAGGUAUACUACUAAUAUUAUUCCUAUAAGAUGACACAACACACUUUUCAAUAGUCAUCCAUUACUAUUCCUAUAAGAUACUACUCCAUAUAAUAUUUAUACAAAUACUAUUUCUUUGAGUUUUUAGGUGAUUUACUGCUUUUGACAUGCCUGAUUAACUUUAAAUUUCAUUGGACAAUUAAUUAGAGAAAAAUAAACGUAUUUUGUUAUAAUCUCCUCUGAAGGAGAAUAUAUUCAAUGACUUAUCAAUGAUAGAUCCUGAUAAUUUGACUAAUCAUAUUCAAAUGGUAAUGAGUUAAUAGUUGCCUAUAUAAGGAAGUUGUCAUUCACUUUCAUUCUCAGAGUCUUAAGUUUGAUUUUAUAUUCAUCGUUUUAACUGCAUGUUCGUGUAUGGUACAUGAAUCAUUAAACUUCACGGUGAUUACGAUAUCAAUGAAGAUCCCAACUUGGAAGAAUUCUUUGAAAAGAAGUUCUUUUAGACCUUUAGGUAUUGGAAAGAGUAAACUUGCAAUAUUCAUUUUUUUCAACUUUGUUCUGUAAACCUUUCAAGAAGAGAGUUACAAUUAGCCAAUUAUUUAUCGUUGGGCACCAAAAUAAGUUGCUGAACAUUUGUUCUAUAGUCAAUGAUGCAUUUUUUUUUACAUAGAAUAAAUAUGGAAGAGAGUGUAUAAGUUUUCACUUCUCCAAAAAAAUUUAGUGAUUUAUUGAUUUUCAAUCCAUGCAUGCACAUGCUACAAUUUUCUAUGCUUCAUUAAUUAUUGAGUCUUACAAUGUUACGAAGGGCAGAAAGGUAAAAUGUACUCUUAAUCAUUGGAUUUCUUAAUAGGUGUGCUAUGGUUGAAAGGACCUACUAAUUCAAAACGGGGGAUAGUAUUAAUUUUAUCAUUAUUAUUCCCUAUCUAACAUAAUUUCUAAAUUAUUAAAUUUAUUAUAUUUCAAAAGCUGAUAUGACCUGUAUUAUUUAUUUCUUCCAAUAAAUAGGUAUAAGCUAAAAGUUGAACAGGAGGUAGUAUAUGCCUAUACAUAUUACUACAUUAUUUUUAAGAAACUUCUAUAUUUUCCCGUUUUACGAUUCAAUGUUUUGAAGAACCAAGAGCGGUACACUUUCCCGCUCUUUGAAAUUACAAUUCCACUGGACCACCACCGCCCACGGCGUCUUCUCCGGCGUAACCCCGCGGCAGCUCUGCCCUAAUGGGUUCCUCCACCGCCACUGCCACCGUUCUCCUCACAGAACUUCAAUCUUCCACCAAAUUCACCACCAAUACCUACAAAAACUUCUCCAAUUACCUCCACGAAUUUACCACUUUCACCAAAUCGACCGACGUUACUACUAUCCGUUCACUUGCCAAGCAAUUUCUUUCGUUCCUCAAUACAUCCUUAUCACUUUUACCCAAACGCCUAUCGGAAACCCCGAAACUUCCUCCCGAAUCUGCUCCUCAUUUGUUUGAUAUUUACAGGUUAUGCCUUAAUUGCCUUGAGAGUAUCUCUUCGCAGCUGUCCUGUAAACCCUACACCGUUCAAGCACAAAGAGUUCGGUACAUCCAUUGUUUGGAAUCAUGGGAGAAAUACGAGGAAGUGGAAUGUGAAGGAUUCUCUGUACUUAAAGUUCUUCGGGAGAAUGCGGUUGGUAAGGGCAAGAAAGAAGUGAAGAAGUCAACACAGCAGUUUUUGCCGCGAUUGGAUUCAGGGAAUGUGGAUCAAGAGUUUGCUCUUUUGGUCGUGGAGAUUGUUGUUACGCUUGUUAAGUGUGCUUCUUUAAUUCAGAAUAAGGCUGUCCACGAAUACGAUGGACUUCUUGAUUUGGUCAAAGAAGUUGCGCCAUGGUUCAAGUGAGUUAUAAUUUCAUAAUGUUGAUUACUCCAUGCUGUAGUUUUUGCAAUUCUAGAAAAGGAGUAUAACUGAUUGAAUGUAACUAACGUUGGAUAACUCAGGGUUUUGGAUGCGAAUGCUCAUGGGAAACUGCAUAGGGUACUUGUGACUUAUCUGAACAGAGUAACACUAAUCAUGGUUGGCGACCUGACAAAAUUCAAUGGGGACUUGGUGCGCAAAUUUUGUGUAGAAGCCUUGUGUCAAAUCAAACAAUCAUCCCUAAAGGAUCAACUGUUCAAGGUGCAUUUUUUAUGUUUAGCAUUUGCCCAUUCUAUAUAUGUUUUCUUUGUCUAUGCUAACUUGUAUAUGUGCCACAGUUCGCAAGGAAGAUAUGCUCCUCUCUGUUCUCACAAGAACUUGGUGAAUUCUCUGGGAUUGCUGACACCUUAAAACAUGUGCUGAACACCAUGGCUGCAGAAAUAAAGGUAUUAUAUUGAUCUUUCUUAGGUUAUUGAUCACGAACAAAGGAUAUUCUGCUGUUUACUGGAUCCAGUAUUUAUUCUUUACAUUUACUUGAUCUUUGCUUCCAAAUGCCUGUGAGACGGCAUAAUGACAUGAAUAUUUUAUUGAAGAUGAGUAAGUAAGCAAUUUCACAGUUUUCUGCAGUACAAAAUAGAGGGACCUGAAGUAUACAAUUGGCUAGUUUAAGUACAUAAAAUCCAUUGCUUGUUCUGGUUACAUGGUUGCUGAAUCAAGGUAGGAUCAGCAAUAAAAUUAUGAGGCUUCAAGUGUUAUAUGACCUGGUAAAGCAACAGAUGUUUGAGGUCGUAGAAUUACAACUUAGUACUGUUUUUGGAGUAGAUCUGGGAAGUUCAAUGUAGUAUGUGAUCAGUAAAGGAUAGGGAACCUUAAAAGGAACAAGAAGGAAAGAAAAAUAUCUUGAAUUCCACCUAGAAUCCUAGUGGAAUCCCUGCAAGUCCCAAAGUAAGUUUGCAUAUAGCGCCAUUUGCGAAACCAGUAAAACUUCAACAGGAAAAAUAAAAAUUAACUUUAAAAAGACAAAAAAAAGGGCAGCCCGGUGCACUACAGCUCCCACUAUGCAUGGGGUCUUGGGAAAGGCCGGACCACAAGGGUUUAUUGUACACAACCUUACUUUGCGUUUUUGCAAGAGGUUGUUUCCACGGCUUGCACUCGUGCCUAUUAAAUAUUACUCGCUCCAUUUUGAAUUGAAUUUAUUCUUUACUUUUAGGAGUUUGAUCAUCAUCUUUGCCUCAAUGUUUUGUACAUUAUCAUAUUUUGGAAUUGCAUUUAAUUAUCUUUUGAGUUACUCUGAUAGUUGGUCAAAUUGAUAAAUGAAACUAGAUUCCAGUGGACUCAGGUAUAGAGAGUUAGCAUAAAUACAGCUCCUAGUGUCAGAACUGCAUGUAUUUUAUGUUGUUCUGCCGGUGCAUUGCCAUUUACAUCACACAGGUAAUACUUUUUUCUCGACUAUAGCCUUCAAGAGAUCACUUGUUGCCUUGAUGUCACCUCAAGUAGUUUCUGCACAUCAUACAAGAUUUUUGCUUCUUUUUUAAUAGCUUUCACAAAGUGUUUAUUUUCUUAUUUCAUUGCCUUUUCUUUUCAGGACUUGUGUUUUUCUGUUGAAUCUCUUUCUUAUUUUCAUUUCCUUGUUUUCAAUAAUGAUCCUAAAUCUUACAUUCUUUUCUAUCCUUGCUAUUUAGAAGCGUAAUAUAUGCAAUUUCAUGAUUUCAUUUAAGCUUUGUGAUUCUUUCUUGACAACUUCAAUAAAAAAUCGCUUUUCUGUUUCACUGCUUCUCUUUCUCUUAGAAGUUGUACUUUUGUACUGAGAUAUCUUUUUCGUUUCUUUUAUUUUUUUGGUUUAAUGAUGAUUCUUGAUCUCGUCUUUCUUUUCGCCGAUCAAAAAAUCUUAUCUUUCUGUUCUAUUCUUGCCGAAUAUGCUAUUUCAUAAUUUUAUUAAAGACAUUGCCCUUACUGUUGCUUUAUGAGGAUUGAGAUAAUCAUUUUAUUUAUAUGUUUUCUUUAAUUAAAAAUAUUGGCGUCUAAGCAUUCAAAAGAUCUGUUUUCAUUGUCAAGGGUAAGUUGAUUUGAGUAUAAAAAUUUUAGCAACUUCACCUGCUUGGUUUGGUGGAAGUAGGGAUUAAUAAAUCAUUUUAUCUUGUGGGAUUUUACUGGGUAUGUUGUUGUUGUUGUAAGAGAGAGGUUUCACUUUACAUUUUUUAAGUUCUGGGCAAGACAAGAAUCAGGUUUAUCUUUAUCUGAUCUAGGAUUUUUGCACAACGGUCCUGUAUCUACCCACAAAGAUGCAUAAAUGAAAAGGGAAGACAAUAUGCUGAAAUUAUAAAUAAGGUUUCUUGGGAUGGAAGAGGGCUACUGUUAAAAGUGCUCUUCAUCAGAAAACAAGCAGUGUUGAUAUUCAAUAGUUUCCUAUGAUGUUAUAGUUAACUCUCCCUUGUCCUGAUCUUGAAUAUGAUUUAAUUUGUAGGAAAAAGCAUAACCAAGGUGCGAGUUGCAAUUUUAUUGUAUUUAAAUGGGAGGAGAUCUAUCAGUAGAGAAAAAGUAAACUUUUUGAUAAAUUUGAACAUUAACUUGUAAGGAUGACCGUUUACUAGUAUAAAUUGGCUACGGGUUCCCAUUUAUUUGAUGUGUCGGUUAUGAAUAAGAAGGUAUAGAAGACUAGGAGAGGACUUUCUAGUUAAUAAACUAUAGUUGUUAACAAGCUGGAAUGAACCACGGGAGACCAGGGUUCAAAUCAUAGCAGAGUUAGAAAAGCGUUUGGUGAUUUCUCUCCAUUUGUCUAAGCUUUGGUGGAUGUUGGAUAGAGCUACAUGAUACUUGUCUUGGUGGUAGAUAGUAGGUACCCGGUUGAUUGGUCGUGGUGUGCACAAAUUGAUGUGCAUCACUAUUUAAAAAAAACAAUUCUGAACAUCCUUGAUAGUUGAGACAACCUAAAUAUGAAAAAUAUAAUAAUGUGGGAUUGAUGAUGCUGUUCAUUGACCUGAAAUGCUUUUUUCUUCUUCCUGGGUUAAUGGCUAGACCCAUAUCACAAUCCUUAUGGUUUAUUUUUAAACUCAUUUUCUGCUAAAGUUAAUCUCAAGAAUGUUUCUUUGCAAUGCACUAUUAAGUCAAUGGUCUAUUCUAGAACUUUUUCUCACUGUUUAUGUUGUUUAUUUGACGAUCGAUUUGGCCUUCAUUUGUAGUACGGUUCAUGAAGUUGUAUUAAUUUUACAUGGCAGGUUGAACAGGAGAAUACUAUAAUAGAAAUUCUGGAGCUUGUUUGUUAUUGUGCUCAUAAAUGCCGAAGUGUUACUUCAAAUGUUUGUAGUAUUCUGGCUGCCCAAUUAAAAGAAUUAGCCAUUCACAUGAAAAAACAUUAUGUUGAAUUAACAGGUUCUCAGGUAAUCACUUUAGCAGUUUAUUGGUGUUAUUUAUUUCUUUAACAAGUCCUAUGAAUUAAUGGGAAAAACUUCGGUUAAGGAAAGUCCUACUUAUGACAGAAUUGGUUCUUUUGAAGGAUGAGCUACCCACUGAUUUGAUUCUGGGGCUUUAUGUUACUGGAUUGCUCAUUAAUGAGUCCUGUAUUCACGACUCAAGAGCUCUCUCCCUGGAUCACAAUGACGUGCUGCAAACGUUAAGCAGUUUGCUUAGCUUUUCGAAAUCUUAUUUUGAAAUAAGCAGCAAAGGAAGCAAAUAUCCACAGAAGAGAAUGCUCUAUCUUCUGUCUUACUUUGAUGCAUUGAGGUUCCUGUGCCAGCCACUUGCCGAGUAUGUUAUUUCAGCAAGGAAAGAAAUUCUUAGCGUAACAGAUGCUGGAUCCUUCAAUACUUACCUAGAAAUUAUCCAUGACGUGUUCAAGCAGUACAUUAACGUCUUCCUACACUACAGGUACAUCAUUAGCAUAUAGCACAAGUCCUGCAAUCCACUAAGUUUGAUUUUAGCUUACAUUCGAUAUGUUAACUUAUUAUAAUUUCUAAAUUAUAAAUACAAAGAACUGAAGUGUUUUACUUUGACAUGGAAUUGCAAAUUCUGAAGCCAUUACUGGGUCUAUUGGACUCGAUAUAUUAACAAAUGCAGUUUCCCUUUUUAACUAAGUCUUUUACUUCUCUGUUUAAACUGAUUUAGUUAUUUACUGGUCUUUUUCAUCGUUUAGAUUGUCUUGGUACUUCUAUCUAAUUGAUUUCUCCAUAGGCUAUGUUAUGUAAACCAUAUGUUUUUCACCUUUUUGGAUGCAGUGCCGCUGAUAGCAAGCAAGAUCCCUGUGAAGAUAACAACAGGGUGUUACUUCUCGUAGCAGUCGCUGCUUUCACUCUCUCUUUAAGCACAAAACAUGAUAUCAAGGUUUCUUGUUCAUGCUACUAAGUUGAUUAAGAUUUCUGUUAUCAUGUAACACUACUACUAUCCCAUAUGACAUAUUAUAUAUCAUUCAAUAAUAGAAACAGACUAGCUCCACUUUAACAGUGAAUUAUAUCUUUCUCUCUUUCUUUGUAAUUGCAGGAAGCUGUUAGAUUUCUCAAGUAUCUCAUUUCAAGUGAGCGGGUCCAAGCCAAUGGACUUAAGUAUCUCUUCACCUCUUUUUACAACAUUGCUGUCGUAUUGUACAGAAAUAAGCAAAUGAAAGAGGUAUGAACAGCUGAAGAGAUUCUUGUAAUCUUUUUCCACUGUUUUUACUUUCCACAUGAUUGGUUUAUUAUUAAUGAAGAUGAUGAUCGUGUUUAUUAUUCAGUUCCAAGUUUUUGAUGCGUUGUCAAAUUUGAAGCAAAAUAACCUUUAAUCAAGGAACUCAGAUCAUUGAGAAUUGUAGUAUUUUGGGUGGAUGAGAGAGAAGGGAAAGGCCUGUGUUAUGGCAUAAUGUGGAACUUCUGAAAGAUGUUUAUGUUAGAGGAGUGAAUUUUAAUGGACAUGUGAUGAUGUUUUGCUGCAGAUGCUCUAAUUUAAUAGGAGCCUGCAUAAAUAAGAGUGAUGUCUGGUCCAUAAGCUCACUUAAUUGCAAAAGCACUUCGGGAAAUUCUGAACGCAUGAAAGUAACAAAACAUCUAUCAGAAAUAUAAAGAGAUAGGAAAACUGUUUGCUCAUGUCUUGAAUAUCUACUCUGGUAAAGAUAGAAAACCUGGAAUACUUUUUCCUCUUAAGUGGUGGGAGUUUGAAUCCUACUGCCAACACUAAUUCAUUUACCUUACAGAAAAAAGAAUAAAGAAAACAUGGAAUAAUUUUUAAAGGGUGAGAAGUUUGACAUAUAGAAGCAGCAUAUGAUAGUGUUGUCUAUAUUUUGGACAGAGUUGGUUGAAGUCACUUCCCUGACUUCAUUACCUGCGUAAGUUCUGCAUUUGUUUUCACUCUUAAGAAAUGAUAAGACGAGCCUUGAUCAAAAAGAAAUGAUAAGACGAGCCUAGGAAGAUCUAAUUUCCUAUUCCUUUUAUUUUGUACAUCAUUUUAGUAAGUGGUAAACUAGUUCCUCCAUACCAUCAUUUUAUUGAUGUCCUCUCCGAAUCUCAGUUUACACAGUCAUAGUGCAUAAAACGUUGAUCCAGUAUCAACUGUUACUGGAAGAAAAAGUGUCCUUGCAUAUUCCCGUUCAAAUUUUGAUUAUAUCAUUCCUUUCCUUGCAGGCUGCUAAAGCUUUGACUCUAUGCUGCAAAGCAUCUUGGAGUCGUGUCUUAUGUCUUUGUGAAUUGUUUAAGCAUGAGUCAGAUAAAUUUCAGAAUGAUCUGACAGAAGAUGAUGUGAUUGGUUUCAUUGACGAGGCGUGUGAGAAAACUGCUUUUCUUUUGGAGGUGCUUCAACAUAGCGGUGAGUGUAAGGUACAAAAGAUCCUCAUUGAUAGCCUUAAAAGCUGGUCUGCUGCACAGCAUUUGUUUAAAAAACUACCAAGUCCCAUAUCUGUAGUGAAACAAUUUGUGAAGGUAAAAUCCCAAGUUUCAUUUGUUAGCCUCUCUUAUCAUCCUUUCAUUUUAUGCAGUAGUGAAAAUUAUAUUGGUCUAUCUCACUUCUUGUUAAGGAAUUUCUCUGAUGUGGAUCUGCUUUCAGAUGGAAUUGAAAGUUAAUGAUGUGGAUACUGAAGAAGGCACCACUACAUUGUAUUCUUUGCUGUCACCUUUUGUAGAAUCAAAACAGGCUCUUGGAAUCAUUUUGGAGCAGGUUCUAAUACAAACUCUUCCUGGCUGGGCUUGAUAAUAGUUAUAACCUCUUUCGGCAAUUACAUUUGAUUUAGUGUGCUUUGUUUGCUCAACAGUAGGUGCUGCUAACAACUGAUUCUUGUACUUCAUCAGGAGCUUAUGGUAUAUAGAGAUUUGAAUGUACGAAAUCCAAGAUUAUGUCAGGAAAUGUGCUUGAAAAUUAUAGGUCUUCUUUUACAAGAAGUAUAUGUCUCCAAGGACAGCUAUUUACAGAGAUGUAGAUCCCUUAUUGUUAAGGGAGAGGUGUUAAGAGCGCGUGGAUUUCAGUAUCUGAAAGAUUGCAUUCAGUGUCUAUCCGAGGCAAUAGCUACAGUAGUAAGUCAUUUAUUUGUGUCUGCCUCUUUAUCUGCAGUGUCUAGUUGAUGUUGGUAAUUAUGUCAGGUUAUGCCUUUUGCAGGAAAGUUCUUUAGAACAGAAAAACUAUGGAGAAAAUUUAGCCUGCACUAAUUCAGCUUCUCAUCUGGCAGCCUAUGCAUAUUGUGCACGUGCACUCUGUACCAGUGAGAUUGAACCAAACUCAAAGGUGCUACAGCCUAAAAUCCUGAUGUCCUGCAUUGAUAUGUUUCCUUGGGUGGCAAACAGUUGGCUGUGAUGACCUUCCUUUUUGGAACUUGGAAUGAAAAGGAGGGAGUUCGUCCUUUUCCAUUUUUAUUAUAAAUGUGUUAGAAUAUCCCAUAUUGGUUAAGGAAAGUUGCUCCUUGUAUAAACUUAGGCAGUUCUCCCUUACUAACUAGCUUUUGGAUUGAAUUAGGCUCAAGAUUUAUUUUCUUAACAUGGUAUUAGAGCAAGACAUAUCCCUUAUCCUUGGUUUACCCAUUUACCAAUGUUGGGUCCUUAUGUUUGAUUGUCCACACUCUAGAUGUAGCCAUCGAUAUGGGGGUGGGUGGGUUAGGAUGUCCCCAUUGGUUGAUGGAAGCAAUCCUUACCUCACGAACUUGUUAUUUUGGGUUGAGUUAGGUUCAAGGUCCAUUUUCCUCACGAUUUGAUUGGUCUAUUGAAGAGAAAGAAAUCUGAAAAAUUUUCUUAUCAUUUUCAACUCUAUCUCACAACAAAUGAGCCAAUUAGUGUACUUUUUCAUAGUUUUUUCUAUGUUUAGCUAAUUCCUUUCUCUUGAAUUAGAAAACCGUUCCUGUAUUUGCUGAAUACUGGUCUAUUAUUUUAUCCCCCCGUCUUUCUUUUUUGAACAGAGACUUUAUGAAGAUAUACAUGCUGCAGCUAGACUCUGGAUGAGUCUGAACCACUGCCAUGCAUCUGAUCAGUGUAGGAUGUCUGAAACUAUGUUGAAUACAUUGCAUCAGAUUGUUGACUUGUUAUCAUUGAAGGUAAUUUCUAAUCUUGAUGUCACUUUGUAUUUGCAAUGGACUUGGUAGAUGGGCCUUGUAUUCAGUCAUUUGAAUAUGCAUCUCAAGUUUUAACUGAUCAGAACCUUUAUUGCCCUUUAAACUUUUCUCUUUCUAGUCGUUCUGACUGGUCUUAUAUCUUUGAUGGCUUAUGCAUCAGUUUUGGGAGGUUUGUGAUACUAAGUUUGGUUUUGUUUCAUGUGAAUGAUCUUUCUAGUUGUAGGACCCACAAGGAGCAUUUUUCAAUUCAAGAAGUGGUCUUUAGGAAUCCCUUCCUACGAUGCAAUUUUCUUGACGGAUAAAUGUUUCGUUAGCAUAUACUAGAAAUGCUUUUUGAGAAAUAAAUAGUCAUUGCUUGUCUCCUGAAGGCUUCUUCCCAGUAGAUUUAAAGAAACAGGGAUUUUUUCAAGAGUUAUUUAUUGCUCACUUAUUAAAAUGCAUAAUAUUGUUCUUCUGGUUCAACAGUAGCUUUAAUUCUUAAAAGAUUCUCCAAAGGUUCUCUGAACACAAUACUGAUUGGUCUUAAUUUUUUCUGCCUUUCCUGUAAACAUGCAUGUGUGUGUCUAAAUAUUUUGAAGAAUGUGAACUUUUGGUGUUGAGAUAUGCCAAUUUUCAUAAACUCUAUUAUCUUGUGCCUUCAUUUUUCAGGGCUACCUGGAAAUCCAUUCAAACAUAUAUGAGAUGAUGAUACAAAUAUUUAUGAAGAAUAUUCCAUUAGAGAAGUCUGUGUCGUUACUGUGGAGAUAUAGAAGACUUAGUCAUGCACUCUGUACAUCACCUGUGAAUGAAAUGUUCAUCAAAACAUUGUCGAACCAUUGUGGUGAACUUUCCAAGUCUGUUGAAUACUGGAUGAAGUGCAUGAAAGAAUCUCAACCACAAUUAAUUGGGUUUCAGCAGAGCUUCUUUCUAACCCUUAGUCUUUCUUCUAAAGUGUCUCGUAAUUAUCAAAGCUUUCUCCACUGUGACAUUACAGAGGAUAAAGUUAAGCUCACUGCUUCAGAGCUUAUUCACGCUGUAAGCUUCUAAUGUAGACACACCAAAUUAUGUUGCAUUUAUUCAGGCUAACAGAGUGUGGUUGCAUCUUCUAAUCUGAUCUGCUAUUUGUUCUUGGGUAGCCUGAUUCUAAAUGGACGACUUAUUGAGGUAAAAUAAUGGCCAUAGUAUUUUGGAUGAUUAUGGGGCUGCAACUUAAAGCUUUCUUCCUUAUUUGUUUGAACCAAUAUCACUCUUUCUGGGUACUCUUAAAAUGUUUUGCCAGAAGAAAGUACAUCCAAUGUGGGUGCCCCUGCUUGGGAUUUUACCUUUUCAGCUUCGAUUCUUGGGUUAACAUACCUCAGCAGACCACAUGGAUCCAUGCUCCAAGAGAAGAUUAUCUGUCUAUUAUGUAAAAAUAGGACCAUAAAGUGGGGUGGAGGGACGUUUUUGUGGUUUUUGUUUCAAAACUAAAAAUUAUUCUCUAAUUUUGGGCAUGAUACUGACUAUUAUUGCAAAUUGUUGAGCUACUCUUUAAUGUUAAUGCAAUGCCUGUAGGCUCUUGUUUAUGCAAAAGAAGCCCAUUGUUUACGAAGUAAACUUCUUCAAGAUAACUUCCACCAUCAGAUAGAGCAGCAGGGUGAGGUAUAUGGUCUUACAAAAUUCCAGAUACAUGAUUCUGUGGCUGCAAAGGCUUGGUUUCCUGAAAGUGUCUCAUUUGACUUUGACGGUUCUACGCUUACUCCUUGGACUAUCCUCCAAUGUUAUCUGGAAAGCAUUUUACAGGUAUAUCAUUAUUUUAUUUAUUCCCUAGAAAAUGGACACAUUUCUCUAUUUAGUAACAAUUUAACUUUAAAUUUUCAUUUUAUUCUUAAUGAAAUGAUUUAUAACCACACAAACAUUUUAAACUUAUUUUAGGCCACAAAUUUCAAAAGUCUUUCUUUCUUAAACUCCAUGCCAAGUCAAACUAACUCACAUAAGUUGGGAAGGAGGGAGUAUUAUAAUUGUCAAUAUUUUACUUACCCAAAAGUAGUUCGUUAACUUUAAUUGGAUGUGUUUUGGAGAAUCUAAUCGAUCAUGAUAACAUAGACUAAUAUAACAGGUUGGAACUGUUCAUGAGAUGCUUGGAAAUGGAACUGAGGCUAAGACACUUCUAUUGUGGGGGAAGGACAUCUCUUGUUUCCAGAGUUUGCCACUCUUCAUAAUUUCAUUCUGUUGUAUGUUAGGUAAUGUUUUUUCCCAAUCUCAUUACGCUUUCUCAUAUAUCACAAUGAAUUUUUUUACGGAACUUUCUGCAUUUUGAAUUUAGUGUCUUCUUAAUAUUUAUCAGGAAAGCUAUACACUAAACAACAUCUCCUGGAGUUGGCAGAAAAGGAACUCAAUACUGCUAAGCAAAUAUUGGCUGAAAACUAUGAUGCCAUCUCUUGCCUAAAAUGCAGAAUUAUUUUAGAAGUUUCAAUUGAUCUGCUACUAGGAGAUCUAUGGAGGCACCAACAUUGUAAUACUACCUCCACAGUGGAAUUUGUAUAUAGUGUUAAAGAGAAGUAUAAAUCUGCCUUGGAGAAGCUGAAUAACUUUGGCUGGGAGGAUUAUGUUGGUUGUCCUUUAGGAGCAAGUUCCCAGCAUACCAAACACCAGGCUACUUAUUCAUUUGCAAACGGUGCAACAGAGCCUUCAGAUCUGAAGGAGUACUCAUCCCAGAAGGACAAGCUGGGAAGUGCUGUUGAAGGCAGAAGGACUAGGAAGACCAAGAAGGAGUCCGGACAUAAUUUAAGGAUGACGCGGUCGAGAUAUCACUCUAUGAAAAAAUGUGAAAGUUCUGUGGAUGAUGAACAUGCUAAUGAUGCUGAAGACAUGGGCUGUAAGCACCUUUUACUAAUAUGUUUUUUUUCAGCGAGCUUAAGAUAGAAGUUGCUUUUCAUUGCCAAUUUUGAUCAUUUAAGUCACAGGUAUGUGCUACAAAUUGAAGUGUUGGCACCAUCUUCCUCUUGAGAUUCUCCGAUCUGGGUCUUUGAGUAAUUUCGUAUGCUUGAAAUGGGAGCUUGUUCGCAGACAACUUUCGCUGAGGCUUCUUACUACAAUGGGUAGCAUGACCUUCCUUCUGGAUACCAUUGUGCUUAUUUUCCUUUAUCACCUUCUUUAUCUGUGACUCUGGGUUGGUUUCUAGUAUACGACAUAUUAUACAUGCUCAAAAAUCAACAUUUCGUUAGAGAAUAUUUCCCAUGAAUAUAUUACUAGUAAUAAACUCACAGCUCCUCCCUGAAUGUCAGAAGAUAAUGAGUAAAUUGUCACAUUACUGGUGUUGAGGUGUAGGAGUAACCUGAAGCUCCAGGUUCAGCAAGUUACAAAAUUCGAUGCAAGUCCAUCGGCUUCAGUCCUGGUGGGAGGUUUACUCCUGUACUUUUGUAUAUUGCAGGUUGCCUUGUGGAAUAGUCAUUUAAGCAAACUGCUGGCCUGGAUCACCAGCAUAUACGAAAUUAUUAGUGUUUCUCAUAGUUUGUGUUGUCCACAUUAAGAGCAUGGAGGCAUUAUGCUUCAAUAGUGGUGUACAGUGUUGCUAAAAGCAGCAGAGUGAUGUUGAAGCAGGGGUCAUCUCUUCUCUUGGGUUAAGCGAAAUGACUUCAAAGAAUCGAGUGCUUCGUGCAAUGAAGCUUAAAACGGUCUGAGCAAGAAGCAUUUGAAUAUUUGAAUUAAGUUUUUAAGAUGAGAGAAAAAAGGGUAACAUUGGAGCCUUUUGCCAUCUUAGUGCUUGUAGUUUCUUGUUCAUACUGUUCUGAUGAUGCUUGUGAUCUUGAAUAGAUAGUUUAUUGUAUUACUCCGUCGGUGGCUUGUUUCUUUUAUUAUCUAGGGGUGUGUUAUCCUAUUUUGUUGUUUAUUUUUAUGUUUUUUGUUUGUUAUACUGUUAUCAUUCCUGAGCUGGGGGUCUAUCAGAAACAACCUCUCUACUUCAUCUGAGGUAGUGGUAUGGACUGUGUACACUUUACCCUCCCCAGACCUCACUUUGUGGGAAUACACUCGGUGUGUUGUUGUUGUUGUUUGUUGCUUGUCAUCUGAGUGCUGGGAAUGAGUUAGUUUUCUUUUCUAUAUCUAUCUUGUUUUUAUUUACUAAUUCUUUAUUAAUAACUCAUGGUUUGGAAACUUUAAAAUGGAACAUGCACUUAAAGAUAAGUACUUGUAAAAUUCCUAAAGCAAUUAAACAUGGAAGUCAAUACUAACUCUAGUUCUUUUCAAUGGGUUAUUUCAAUGCACAUAGAAAAUCAAAUUUUCAAUUGAAGUUAUCUUUUCUUGUGUUUGUGGAAAUUGUAUUUUCGAUGAUAUGUAACCUUAGUUUUUGGGAUUAAUGUUGUCAUUGUUGUAUAGUGGUUUCUGAAAAUAGUGAAGCUAGUUGCAAAUUUGAUUUUAUUAGUACUAGUUUCCUGUCUGUUUGAUAAUAUUUGUUUUCCUGUAAAUUGAGCUCUUAAUUUUUGAAAAAGGUGCACAUCUUCUUGUGUGUCCCAUUUUUGUGCCUUUUGAUUUUAAAAGCACAUGGCAAAGAUUUUUCAGCCUUUUGACCACUUAACACUUGCGGGGCAAUUAUCAAAACUGUAGACCUGUUUCAGGUGCUAUCGUGUCUUAUUAAAAUAUCUAACUGAGGGUUCUAAAUUUAGAGGGAGAUUAAGGUUGUAAUAAAAGUGAAGCACCUACCUGUGCAACUGGUCAUUAGUACUUUUAUAUGGAACUUAUGGCCAUGUGUAUUAUUGAUAAUGUUAAUUUGAAGUUGGAUCCUUUUGUGCUAUGAGGUAGUGUAUAUUGAAAACAUGUUAUAUUUUGACAAACUCAUUCAAUUUGGCCUUGGUUUUUGUAUUGCUUGUGUGCAUGUUUGAGCUAAUUGAGCUACUCUUUCAUUUUUGUUUUUUUGAUGAAAUUGCUGCUCAGUUCCUUCUUUCAAUUUCAUUGAACCAGUGAACUCUGUGAUCCACUUGCUGCCCUAAUAUCUUCUAGACACUGUAGACUUUCCAUGCCUAAAUGAUUGCCCCUGCUUAAACUUGAAUGCUUGAGUUGCAGGUGACAGUGUUAGAAUUAUGCAAUAAUCAUACCUCUUAUCUUUUUCACUCUUAUUAUGUUUUUCAACUUCUUCAUUGGCCUUACCUCUUAUCUUGUGCGUGGCAGGAAAAUGCUUAGGUCUUUCUGGUGAUAGCCAUGAAUCACAAAAGCUUGUUCUUCAAAGUGUUUCGCUGUUCAGUUCAGAUCCAUCUUGUCCCAAAUUUUCUUCUCUGCCUCUAAUGUCCUUGGUUGAUCAGAUGGGACACGAUAUUUGGGUGGUUGAAUUGGCUGUUGAUCAUUCAGUUAUACUCUACCACAUUUGCUAUUCCGUUUUGAAUAGCUAUACUUGCAAAUCAACCAGGUAUGCAUGCAGAAAUAUAUGCAAGUUGUCAUGUCUUUUCGUAUCUUGAACUUUGAACUGAAUCAAAGUUGCUAUCAACUCUAUUAUGAAUUCCGAAGUCCAAAUUACUGGUGUAAAUGCAAUAGCAAUAUUAAUUUGUUGUGUUUGACAAUCUUCAGCAGCUGAGACAUUGUUGAUAAAAUUUUUCUUGAAAACUUAACAAAGGUCUGUCAAUGAUGUUAAAGAAACGUAACCCAAAAGCUAGUUCAAGAUGUAAAAAUUGCCCAAGCCAUAAAAAGAGCCCAAGUCAUCCCUUAGCCGACGUGGAAGACUCAACAAAUGCUAAAUAAAUUAACACUUUUGUCCUUCCAUUUAAGGCAUCCAACAACUACAAAUUCUUGUUGUCCUUCCAUGAACACUUUUCUUUCACGUCUCCUGUAAAUUCGUGGCUUAUUUCUCUCUUUAGAGUGAGACUUUUCCUUAUAGAAGUAAAAAAACACAAAUCUUCUAUUAAGGCACUAUUUUAGUCUUUCCCCCUUAAUUAUUCAUGUCAUUAGGUCUGCUGUAAAUGGCAGCUGAUGUAGCUUCUAGUUAGCUUUUCAAUAAUUUUUAGGUGACUUGCUUUCUUUUGGUGUGUUGGCUACUUUAGUUGCUCAAUAAUCCUUAUUUUUUAUACUUGCUCUAGUCUCAUCCACAGUUAGUAAUACGACCCCAAAGGUUGUGUAUGCUUGGUUUUCAAAUUGAAUAUCCAUCUUUCAAAUAAUCACGAAGUAGGAGAAUUUUGUGGGUCCCACUGUUACUUCUCUCAAAUUGAACCAGCUUGGACGGGUUAUUGAACAGUCUAUUUAUUAACUUAGUGCAUCUUGACCCAUCCAAAUUUAGUCCAUCUAAGUUGGACUGAUUUGGGCCAAGUAUGUUGCAUGAAUCAGCCUAUGAAAACUGUCAAAAUAUUUAACUAAAAAACUUUAUUUGUUUGACAUUUUAAAUAUAGCUGUGAUAAAGAUGAACAGAAGUUUUAUUGUUUGCCUGGUAAUUAAACAAACAAAGAAAUUAAAACUUGGUAAGAGUUGAGUGGCUCAUGACCCAUUGUUUAGUCCGCUUUGACCACCUAACCCAUCUCAACAUAACUAGCUUUUGGGUAGAGUUGGACAAUACCCAUGUAUGGAUUCAAUCAUUUUGACCCUGCUCAGUUUGGCCCAAAUCGUCCAUUUGCCACCCUAGAACCAAGAUAGUGGUGCCUACAUAUAGAUAUAUCAUAUAUUGUAAUGGGGAUGAUUUGUCAAAACAUUUUCAUUAAUAUAUGUAUGUAAGAUAGUAGCCACAUAUUUCCUUUGCUGUGUACAUUUUUCCUGUCGUAAAUUGUAGACUGUUGUAAUGCAUUCGCAUUAAGAUUCAGUUCGUCAUUAUAUUUUCGUUUGUCCUCCUGAACAGCCUUUCUACUUCAUCAGAGGUAGAGGUAUGGACUGCGUACAUCUUACCCCCCCCCAGACCCCACUAGGUGGGAAUACACUGGGUUUGUUGUUGUUGUUGUUGUUGUUGUCCUCCUGAAUUUCUUUCUUAUGCAGGAAAACUAGCUGUAAAGAAUGCCGUAAUUUUUCAUACAUAAAGUUAUCAAAAGUUAUUGGUUGGCUGAAGCUGGCCUUCAUUCUCAGUCGUGAGAUUCCUUUGCUUUCUCAAAAGGUUAGACUUUGAUUUAGUUGAUCUGUAUUUGAUAUUCCUCUAUUAGCUAAGUGUAUACUUCAACAAUCUUGUUUGUGUUUUCUACAUUGAGAGACUUGCAUUCAUCUUUAUAAGUCUGUUUCCUUUUCACUCACUUGGAAUUAUCUCCUUUGGAUAUGUACAUUUACAAUAUGCUAUACAGAAAUUCCCCUAAGCGCUUCACAUUACGUUCUUGCAAACAAAACAUAAGGUGGAUGAGUACAUAUAUAAUAAUUGUCUGCACUGGCCUCUGAGAGAACAAAUUGCUAACUAGUAACAAAGGUUAAUGUCCUGAAGUCAAUAAAUAAAAAGACUGUUGCAAUUCUGUAUUUUAUAAAGUACAAAUAUCUUUCAUUUAGCUUUCUGGUUCUUGCAUGUAUGGGUUGAUUUUCUUAGGUGGCAGCUCUAAUAAUCUUUUGGUGUUCAUUUCUUGUGGGUCUGUACUGCAAUGAUUUCUGCAAAUAUGCAAUAUUAAAUCAUUAUAUGCUUAUUCUUUCAGUGUAUGUUUUAGAUGUUAAAUAAACAUAUGUCAAUUUGUUUUGUUUUUGUCCAAUUUGUAACAUCUGAAGCAGUUUGAUACCCAGGAAAUUGACUUUUAUUGCAAUUCACCAGAUUUCCAGGUUGCUUGCGGCAGUUUAUGUACUUUCUACUUCUGUUAAGUCUUUUAGUAUAGCACCUAGCAAAGCAAUCUCUGAGAACCAAUGGGCGUCGUUUUUUCAUCAAGCUUCAAUUGGUACUCAUCUCAAUCAACACUUCUUUUCUUGCCCAUUGAAGAAGCAGAAAGCUGAACAUGUUGUGCAUUAUGAGGUAUGUGUUUCUGAGUUUAGUUUUCAUCAACAACUGCUCUACAAGAAGUUUUUCUUCGUCGUGCUUGUAUAAGGUUUUCACCAGUUAUUUGUUAUGCAGUUUUAACCCCUAAUCUUAGCUGUGUGUUCUGCAUAACGGUUGCACCUAAUACUAGCAACAUGAUCUCUUACAGUCUUGCCUUUUUUUAGCGUUAAGGACUUUGUAGUUCCAUGUGUUCCUUUUGCUUUUAACAGUUUGCAGCAGAUGACGGGCAACAGUUGGUUAUAAUACAAUAAGGGGUCGUUUGGUAGAGUGUAUAAGAUAAUACUGAAUAGACUGUAUUAGUAAUGCUAAGAUUAGUAGUGCAGGGAUUAGUUAUACUAGGAUUAGUAAUACUGAGAUUAUUUUUUAUGCAGUGUUUGGUUUGAUGUAUUGAAAAUAAUAUGUAUUGUUAUAUUUUAAAAAAAAUAUUGUUUGUUUACAAAAAUACUCUCGACAUAUUAUAACUGUAUAUUUUCUUUGCAAAACUUUAUUUUUCUUUUUUAAAAUAAAAAAAUUAACAAUAUAACUAAUUUUUUGCUUUAAAAUUUUAAGAUUUAAUUAUUCACUUGCAAUUUUUUUUUGUUUUCUUUUCUUUAUUUGUUCAUCAUUUACUUGUUGUUCCCACUUUGUGGUAUUUUGAAGCUGGAGGGAGGUACGUGUAACUUUUGAAUGAGACAAUAGAAUCAUUAUUAACAUAAAAUUGUGUUCAGUAGAGUGUUAAAACUAAGCUGAAAAAUUAUUUUUAUUUAUGAAUAGCCUAUUUACAAAAUUAAAGUUUGUAUGCAAUCAUGCAAUUUAUUUUUGGAUUUUGACCAAUAAGUAUUUUUUAAGUUAAUGAAGUAGUUUUUUUAUGACAAAUUAUUUGGAGAGAUAUUAUUAUCUUGAUAAAUUGAAAAGAAGUAAAUCAGAUUGAAAAAAGUGAAAAAAGAUUAGAAAAAAAAAAAAAAAGGCAGCCCGGUGCAUUAAAGCUACCGCUAUGCGCGGUGUCUGGAGAAGGGCCCCACCACAAGGGUGUCUCGUACGCAGCCUUACCUUGCAUUUCUGCCAGAGGCUGUUUCCAAGGUUUGAACCCGUGACCUCCUGAUCACAUGGCAGCAACUUUACCAGUUACUCCAAGGCUCCCCUUUAAAAAGAUUUAGAAAAAAAUAAUUGAAGAAAUUUGAGGGAAUUUCUGUAAAUAAUAAUAAAAUUUAUAAACUAAUUUAUUUAAAUAAAUUUAUUAUUACAAAUAUAAAAAAAUAAAAUUAAGAAAAUAAAAAAAUAUUUAAAAGAAUUUGAGGGAUAUUUUUGUUUUUACACAUUAGUCCAUGGUAUUAAAACUCAUGUAUUACUAAUAAUACCAUAUGGGAUGUAUUAGUAAUACACCCUAUAAUACCAUGUAGGGUAUAUAACUAAUGCAUGGUAUUAGUAAUACAUAGGUUCAAAAUCCUACCAAACAUAGUACUAAGUAAUACCACACUUAAUACAUGGACGAUUUCUCCUAAUACAUCCUACCAAACGACCCCUAAGUGGUACAAAAGUGAGCUAAGCCUGAAUCUGAGUGGGUUCACCUGAUAUAUUUUAGUGAAGUUGAAGUCUAAAGUCAGAAGUAAUCAUACAACCUUUAUUGGGUUUUCCUCCGAAUCUAUCCACUUGUGUUUCUGACUAUGAGCAUCGACAAUUAUCUUAUGCUGUGGUUGUUCUUCUAUAGUCGUGUUAUUGAUCGCCAAUCACUAAGCUAGCAUGACAUUCGUUACCCUUCUCUCCUUGAAACAAAAUAUUGUCUUAAGGGUUGGAUUCCUUGGGCAGAUCUUUUGGGAGCAUAAAAUCUUCUUUUGGGAUAGCAGACAGAGUGAUUAAUGAUAAAUCAGAUAGAAAAUGAGAUUAAAAACUGGGAAGAAAAGUCAAAAUGAGGAAGUUAACUUUCUCCAAGGAAAACGCGGAGCAGUAUUCGCAGAGUAAAUCAAAAGUUUCUGACUCUAAGGAGCAAUCUUGGAGCCCUAAACAUAAACAUAGCAUUCUGUCCGCACUGUAAAAGACCACUAAGGUAAAGUCCCAGCCCGCAAACAACAACAUACCCUGCGUAAUCCCACAAAGUCACAGCCAGCAGCAAAGCUUUUACAAAAUCUCACUAAAGCCUAAAAGGCAACCCAAUAUUGAAUNNNNNNNNNNNNNNNNNNNNNNNNNNNNNNNGCACUUAUAUCUAUGGAUUUUGCUGUUUUCAGGGUUCAUGUUCCUCAAGCCAACAGUUUCUUAGUUCAGAAGAACCUAACAUGCUCAGGUAUUUCUUGGUCUUAGCAUGAAUUAAGCACCUUUGCUAAGAAGAUGUGCUCAUUUCUGUUUCAUCUGCAUCCUCUUUUGAUGCAGGUUUACACCUGAGUCAGUUGAAGAUCUUGAAGAUUUUGUUUCGAGAUUCUUUGAGAGCCUGCCUUCUUGUACAAUUGUCUGUCUUAGCUUGCUUGGACGCUCUGUUUCCAGUUUGUUGACUGAAUUGUUGCAUUCUCCAUACCCCAUUCAAUCAUGGGUUUUGUUAUCCCGCAUGAGCUCGACUAGUCAUCCCAUCACUGUAAUUUUGCCGGUGCAUUCUGUCUUAAAUGGUAAUAGUCUUGUACUCCAAAUUGAUCAGUAAAUUCUUGGAAGGCAUCCAUCACUUAUUCUUCCUUUUUGCCAUCAGAAGUUGGAGAUGAUGUCGCUGAAUUCAUUUCCAGUUCUUCAUUUGAAGUCAAAGACAAGCACUGGCGUUGCCCUUGGGUAUACAGCGUGAUUGAUGAUGUGGCACCAGUCUUUAGAGAUAUAUUAGAGAAUAAUUAUUUAUCCUCUUCUGUACACCUAUUAGAAGAUACUGCAGAGAGCAGAUCAUCAUGGUGGAAGUGGAGGAAACAACUUGAUAAGCGCCUUGCUAAUUUCUUACGGUUAGUCUUAUUUAAAUAAUUCUUCAUCUACUUUAGUGUUCCAUGCAAAAGUUCAUCUCCCUUAAUUUGGAUGGUCUUCAAUACUGAAUUCUUGGAAUUUUGGCUGCUCGCAAGAGUUCAGUUGACCUUUCCGUUUGGUAGUUAAGAGUGAAGUCACUAAAUGUGAUGCUUAUCAUUGCUAUCAUGAUGACAAUUCACUUACAAAUAAUGCACAUCAGAGUAUUUUACAUUUCAACUUUAUAUGCCUCAGGAAUCUAGAGGAUUCAUGGUUAGGUCCUUGGAGAUUCUUGCUUUUGGGGGAAUUGUCAGAAUGUGAGCUCCUGGAUUCCUUAGUGAAGAAACUCUAUGAUCAUUUUCGACGUAAAGCUGGAGCAGAUGUUCAUGAAAGUCUUCUUAAAGUAAUUCUUGGAGGUGCAAAGUACGCUUGUGAGAAAGAAAAUUGCAUUUCUCAGAUGGUUAUAAAUAAAGGAUGUCACCUACAUGGAGGGGGUCAUGGAAACUCGCAAGUGUUGUAUAAGACAUCUACAGAAGUUGAAUGUCUCUAUGAUUCAGUAUACAAGUCUAUACUUGAUGAAGCUCAAGGGAUGGAAGAGACUGAAUCCAUAAGUAGAAGACCAGUUAUUCUUGUUUUGGAUCUUGAGGUGCAGGUGUGUUUACUUUUGCUGUUGCUUUUCCUGGUUAUUCUAUUAUUAUUGGUUUCUUGAAGAGUAUUGAUUCAACUUUGUGCUUCAUUAUAUCUGAAAGUUUCUUACACUAGCCAAAAGCUUUGCAGAAAGGACAUAUAAAGUCCUCCCAUGUUUCAGGAAGUUGCAAUUCUGGGAAAUGAUAGAUUUGUUAAAUAUUGCACUUUGUUAUAUCUUGUAGCCCAUACAUUGUGCAUAGUGUGCUGCAACUGUUUGAACUUCCCCAAGUAGGAGAAGUUUCUCUGCUAAUUGGCAAAAUUCUAGUAAAUUCUUUUUUUACACGGAAGGUUUUGGUUAGAAAACUAAAUGGCGACUUCUGCAGAUGCUUCCUUGGGAGAACCUACCGGUAUUAAGAAACCAGCAGGUUUAUCGCAUGCCUUCAGUUAGCAGCAUCAGAGCAACGCUGAUCAAGUCUUGCCAAUAUCAACAGCAAGUUCAGAUGGGGGGAUCUCUUAUGAAAGAAGGGGUUCCAUCACCUUCUAUUCCACUGAUUGAUCCACUGGAUUCCUAUUAUCUUUUGAAUCCAAGUGGAGAUCUUAGUAGCACACAGAGUGAAUUUGAAAACUGGUUCAGAGAUCAGGAUUUUGAGGUACUUCUCCAAUCUACUCCUGGAAUUAGAACCAGUAAAAAGAAAGAAAACCCUUAGACUAAGUAUCACAUUUUGCCCUUUCUGCUUGUGCUUACAUGUAAAAUGUUCAUCUAUAUACAACAACAACAACAAACCCAGUAUAUUCCCACAAAGUAGGGUUUGGGGAGAGUAAGUGUACUCAAUCCAUACCACUACAAAGGUGAGAUAGAGGCAAAAUGUUCAUCUAUAUCCAUACUCCAAAAAAGUUAUGUUUUUUUUCUUCCUUUUUUCAUGAAUGCCAAUAGGGCCCUAUUAUUUUUAUUGAAUUUCUGCUGAAAAAUGAGAGAUAUGUUUUCCUUAAAUGGGAGGAAAAAUUAGUAAAAAGUUUUUUUUCUUUCUUUUGAUCGGGAAAAAAAGUAAUUUAUUUUAGUGGAAACUGCAGUGGUUCUAUUAUUUUUAGUUGUUUCCACUAAAAAAUAGUGAUAUAGACUUAUCUUAUAACUGAAAAUAAUUAGGAUAUAUAAACUUAUCGGUCAACUGGCCAACUACCUUAGUCCCAAAUUAAUUGGAUAUGUUAUAUUCAGAGGAUUCAGUAUAGUUAAGACCAAUUACAAGUUAGCUGUCGACUUACUCCAACCUUUCUUUACUCAUAUACAAGCUAGUACCUGUUUCUUUGAGAGCAGCUUAUGUGAACGGUGUACAAAUAAUCUUAUUGCUCCCUUAAAUAAAAAUAUAUACACACCCACACAUAUAAGCUCAAGGACUAAGAAACAUUCUGAAUUCAGAGUUUUUAACCAUGUCUUUCCGUUUAAAUUCAUCUCAAUGCAGUGUUAUACGAAUUAAAAUUUAGAAGUACUAAAAGUUCUCUAUAUGCUCUGUAGGUGUAAAAUAUCUGGUAGGAUAAAAAGACUUCUAAAAAAUACAAGGCUUAUGAUAAACGUACCAACAUGCCUAAAAUGUAUUUGUUACUAAUUGUUAUAGACUGCAUCAAUCAUUUUCUUUCAUUGUGCCCUAUAUGUCACCAAGUUUGCAUGGAUUUCAAGAGAUUGUAGGUAAAAUAAUUGGUCAUUCAAUAAACAUGAGCAUUAUUAUCUUAUACACAAAAUUCCAAGAGGUAGAUACAUCGAUAUCCUUAUCUUUCUGGCAUACUUUCGUGUAAAAAAUUGUGAUAUAAGAAUAGCGAGAGAAAGAUAAUUAAUAUGGUUUGUCACAUGCCUCUUCUUAGGAUAUUUUAAACAAAAGCAUGUUACUUUUGUUGUGCAGGGGAAGUGUGGAACUGCACCAGCAGUAGAAGAAUUGGCUGAGGCCUUGAAGAGGCAUGAUUUUUUUAUUUACUUUGGCCACGGAAGCGGUACGCUCAAGCUCAAUUUGAACUGAUCCAUGAUAUUAUCUUGGUUCAUUAGGUUUUACUCACUAUUGCCUACACGCUCUCUUAGAAAUAAUAUGUUGCUAUGCUGGUAUUUCAGGAACACAAUAUAUCCCCGAGCAUGAGGUGAAGAAACUUGAGAGUUGCGCUGCUACUCUGCUUAUGGGGUGCAGCAGUGGAUCACUGUAUCUGCAUGGAUGUUAUGCUCCUCGAGGUGCUCCACUGUGCUACCUAUUCGCAGGUUCUCCAGUUAUAGUUGCUAAUUUAUGGGAAGUGACAGACAAGGAUAUCGACAGAUUUGGAAAGAGCAUGCUUGAUGCUAUUUUAAGAGAAAGAUCAAAUGUUUCUUUUAGUUGUGACCAAUGUGAUACAAUUUCAGAUCAACUUGAUUCCUUGAAAAUUACAGAUAGAAAAAGAACGCAAAGGGUAAAGACAAAGAAAGAUACAACACCUGAUAUGUGUAAUAUGAAUGUAUCUACUAACCACUGUAACCAUAGACCAAAGAUUGGAUCAUUCAUGGGGCAAGCUCGAGGGGCAUGCACUCUCCCUUUUUUGAUUGGAGCAGCCCCAGUUUGUUAUGGUGUCCCCACAGGAAUAAUAAGCAAAAAAGAUUUGUAGUAUUAUAACAUUGUGUAUAUGAUAAUGUUGCACUCCCAUUCUUUAUUGCUUGUACUGUCAUGAAUCUUUUAUCAUUUUAGAUACUGUGUUCCCUUUUUUAAAGUCUGACCAAAGAUGAAAUAUGUAUCAAUCUCACUGAGGAACUUUCAAAUAUUGAUAUAUGAUAAGACUUGCUGAACCAACUCAGUGCUUGAACGAAUCAAAUCAGUUUGGGAACAUCGAAUCUGAUUCAGAUUUCCGUGAAGAGCUUUUCCGUCAUCGGAUUGUGCAAAUUCUAAUGCCAUUAACAUCCAACUUCCUGCUAAAAUAUAGUUUUAGAUAUAUGUCGUAUUCUGCAUGUUAUGUGGCACCCACAUUCACCAAUAUCAACACAGUUCACUAUUUUAAUUGAGAAACUAAUAAAUAGCCUUAAAUUUAUUUUAAUAAUCGCUAAACAGUUGAAUGAGUUAAUGUGUUUUAUUUGUACACUAAAAUCCAGAAUUUCCUUUCGCUUUAGUAUCAGUUUGGAACUACCUGAAUAGACUAUACUAGCACCAUGAGGCCUACCAGAAAAAUAGUCUCUUCCCAUGCCCACGCUAUACGAGUUCAUAUAACCAAGAACAAGUUUGGGCCUAGUCUGGUUUACAGGGGACGGGGUUCAUCAAAGGCAAACAACUACAGAUCUGUAUCACAUUCACAUAAGUUGGAAGUGGCAAAAGGUGAAAGAAAUGAAAAUGUACAUCAGAAAUUGCAUUCAUACAAGCUGAAUAGGUAAAAGGUGAAGAAGAAAUGAAAAUGUACAUCAGAAAUUGCAUUCAUACAAGAAUUGACAGAUAAAUGUUCAACAGACAGAAUAAGGAAAUUACAAAGUACAAAUCACAGUAAAACUGAGCUUUCUUCGAGUGCCAGCCAAUAAUUCUGACCCAUCCUACAAUCUACCAUGUAUCAAGCAUCAAUUUGAGGCAGAUGUGCAUGAGAAUGUUAGAGCACAGUUAAAUCCUAAACUAAGACCUAUAAUGAUUUCUUUUUUCACAACUUCAAACAUACACAAAUUACAACUAUCUCCGACCUGCGUUGGCCUCUCUACGUCUUCGUCUCCUCCCGGAGCGACCCAAAAGGACUCUACCUUCACGACGAAGACGUCCAACUAGUGAUAUACCACUAUCAUCAUUAUCAUCGCCACUAUUGUCACUGUCUUCAUCAGAGUACUCGAAACCACCAACUGGGAGGUUUCGAUCAACUCCACCAGCACCUCUAUCCAAAGUGUCACUUAUGUCUCUCUCGUGCCGCCUCACAACCCGAUUUGACCCAAUAUUCCCUGCUGAUCCAAAAGCCUGCAAAAACAGAAACACAUUCAUCAAGUUGCGAUCGAUGCCCAUUCCAAAACCUUCAUUCCCAUUCAUCAUCUCAUUCGCAUCAAAAUGCUCUUCAUCGUCUGAAUCAAAGCCAUAAUGACUUCCUUCUAUCACAUAAUCACCAAAAACCACAGCCCCUGGCAUAGAAGUAGUUAUAGUGCUGAUAACAUCAUCCCUCUCUCGUUCCCUCUCCAGCCUUCUCCAUUUUUGUUCAAGAAGAGGAUCUACCUCACGUGGCCGAGAACUGGGGUGCUCAGCCUUAACAUGUUUCCGUAUCUCCUUGUAGCUUCCAACAAACGAGCAAUCAUCCUGCAUGCAGCUACGCUUCUUCGUAUUUAGAUAGUCCCUUGCAGGUUCAACCACAGUCCAUCCCUUAACCUGGCCUCUACAUAGUGGGCAAGCAACUUCAGUGACCUCGCUUUUCCCAGAAGGCCAAGUAGAAAAUGGGUCAGCAAUUGGAGUAUCAGCAGAACCCUGCAUAGGUUGAUUAUUAUCUGGCAGUGUUGCUUUAGUGUAGGCUUUCUUGUACUGAUCGAGGCAGUUUGAAUAGCGUAAGCUAGUUCCACACAUGUAGGGGCGGCAACCUUUGUCAUGAGAGGAACACAGGAGCAGCACAGCAUUAUGAGGAUAUUCCAUGCAUACAGAACAUGUUGCAUCUUCCCAGUCUUUCUUCUCAAAGAUUUUGGGGCAUUUCUUUUGGUGAACAAGUUCAGAAUGGUUAGCAGAUGGCAAAGGGUAUGGGGUGGCCCUACAUCGUCGAGAACCAUUCCUACGUCGUCCUGUGGCCCCUUUUGCCAUUUCCUAAACAAAUCUGCACGAUCAGAACAUCAUAAUUUAGCAUGAUAGUACUAGAUUCAAAAGAGAGUGAAGUCACAUCAGAUAUCUGAUGGGUGCUCAAGUAGGCUUCCGAACUAUUUUAACUUUCUUAGAAAAAAAUAAUAUCCUUUCUAUUUUACGGUUCAAUGCAGGACCCAAGAACAGAGAUCUCGGGCAAAGAUGUUACAAUAUGCAGCAUAACUCAAUCAUAAAAUUCAGUGACAUUAUGUGUUCUAGCAAUGUGCAUAGUGUUGCUAAAAACAUGAAAGACAGAUCAAGCAUAAAACUAAGUGUAAAGUGUUUGUUUCAUUUUUGGUAUGUCUACAUACAUAAAGGAAAGCAUGAGGAUCAGUCAAGGAAAGAAAGUACGAUGGACCUCUUGCGAGUGUGUAACAAGAGAAAAUAAUUAGUAGAGUUCAUGCAUCCAUUUGAUUAUUCAAUGUAACAUCAUAUCAAUCAACGAUGCCCACAAUCCCAAAAUAGUAGGCCUUAGCUAUAUGAAUCCUGUGUAUCAAUUAAGUACUAUUUGAAGCUAAUACUCAGAGAAUAGUCAAAUUUUACAAUUAAUUAAUAACCGAAAGCAGCUUACACUUUUCUUUUAGACUUUUAGAACUCUUGAGUUUACGUGACAGCAUAAUUGUUGGUUGCUGAGUAAAAACGCUUGAAAUGCAUUCAGAUAAAGCAAUAAACUAGGAAUAGCAAACACAUGACAAUGAUCAGAGGCAGUGGAAAUGCAGCCCCCUAGAGCUAAAAAAAAUAAAAAGGGCAGCCUGGUGCACUAAGCUCCCGCUAUAUGCAGGGUCAGCACAAGGGCCCGACCACAAGGGUUUAUUGUACGCAGGCUCACAUGUUUAUUGUACGCAGGCUCACCUUACAUUUCUGCGAGGGGGUAGAUGGCAAAUACAUUUAGUUGAAUCUGAUUACCGAAGACAAGGAAAAAGUUUAGGGGGUAAUGUGUGGUUCUAUAAAGCAACCCAGCUGCUACCACCCACCUUCCCUGCCAUACUAUCUCUUUCUUUUUACUCAACUUUAAAUUCUCGAAAUCCACCCUCAUAAAGUGGAGUGAAAGUAUUCAAACCAAGUCAACUUGGAAUAGUUUGAAUAGCAUAAUCGCUGUAAGAUUGCAAGGACACCCUAUGCUUACCUGAGAAGACCAAGGAAAAAUACAGGUCCAUACCAAAAAGACCACAACAGACAGAUGGAAUAACUUUCAUCCCAUCCGGAAGACAAAUACAGACGCCCUCAAUAUGCAUUAAAAAGCCAUUAAAUGAGAUCAGCAGUUGCAUGAAAAGUAUCAGGUGCUAGCUGCUAAAUCACAAGUCUGAUAUAAGACGUCCUAGACCUUCUAUUUUAAACAAGGAAUGGAUUCAAAAUCUGGAAUAGGUACUUGUCUGGAACUAUAUACCCAAGUACUUUCGGAAGUUACUACAAUUCAACUCCUUCGGAAAGGAUAAUAAGGAGGGGUUCUCUAAUGGUGUAUUAUAACCCAAAGAAAAAAGACAUACAGGAAGUAUAAACAGCCGCGACAACAUGAUUCAUGGGAGGUACUCACUAGUCAACUUCCUGCAAAUAUGAAAACGGAUACUCGGCAAAGUUUAUGUGAACACGUUUGACUCGGUUGGGAGUCUAAGAAAUAAAUAAAAACAUUGGAACCUGUGAUCUUAACCAUAUCCUAACAUUUGAGGAGGUAUAAAAACUUCACAUUAAAGGUAACAUGGAAAAUUUUUAAUUAAAUUGUUUCCAAUUUCAUUGAGUCAUUCCUUUUCAAAAGGACUUAAAAGGAAACAUGUUAACAUAAACUAAAUCAUAGGAGUAGCUAAAAUGUGCAAAUGUUCACGUGUAAACGAAAUCUGUGACCAAAUAAAAAAUAGACUGUCUUGAUCAGCAUUUUACUAAGUUAAAAAGAAACCUACAUGUUCAACUCAAUUGUUGCAAACUCAGUAAAAAAUUUGCAAAUAUUCACAGGUAAAAGAAAAUCUGUGUGACGAAUUUUUUUUUUUUAAAAGACAGCCUUGAUCAGCAAUUUACAGAGUUAAAAGAGACAUCUACAUGUUCAACCCAAUUGUUGCAGACUCAAUAAACCUUCAUCUUUUAGGCAAAAAACUAUUUUUCAACCUCUCAAACAAAUGUCAGCUCCCAGCACAUAAUUGAAACUCUUAAAGCUACAGAUCUAUUCAAAAGUGAAGUACCACCAUUAAAUCCCAAAACAACGAACCACACACUGAUUGCACAAUCUGGUAAACUGAAUUAUAACAAUGAGUAUCAGAGACUAUCACAAAAGUAAGACCAGAUGAAGAGAAAAAAAUGAGGAAUUUAGAAUUGGGGAAUCAAAACACUUAUAAGACAGAAUUGCCUUAGGCCAUUGUAAUUCAGAUGGAGAACAAACACCAACCAACUCGACCUCCAUCGGUCUCCAGGAAUCAUCAAUCAACAACCCAAUUGGCAAAACACCUCACAACAACAGAUAUUCAAACACCAAGAAUGAAUACAUAUCCACAUUAUGUACAUACCACCAAGCUAAACUAUGCAAAAAGAUAAAAGCUUUACUUGCACCCACCUCGAGUUUUGAGCAAAUCUGGAUCCAAUUCAAAAACUGUUACUGAUAAGCAGCAAAAAAGGUACACAAUAGCUAUAUAUAUAUAUACCCCCAUCCCCUCCCACCCCAGCCCUACCCCCACCCCACACCCCAAUAGAAUUCAACUCUCCCACCACCUAUUUACCUACUACAAACGCAAAGGGAGGUUGGAAAAAUGCAUCCAAUACACUCCAGAACGUGGCCCUAAGCAGAACAAAAUCACGCGAGAAUACAGAUAACAAAAACGAAUAAAUUAAUAGAUAACAAUUCAAAAAGGCUCAGCACAGCGAUUAAUUACUUAAAUAACUAAAAAACAAAGCCAAGCACAUGACGCUCCUUGACAUCAAUCUGAGAUUCACCAUUAAUUUUAUCCAAUUAUUAUCAAAAAUCCAUCAAUUGUCCCAUUAUCCCCUCAAUUAUCAAAAUCCAUAAAUUAAACAAAAUAUAUAUAUAUAUAUAUAUAUAUAUAUAUGGAAUUCUUACCGGUGGGAAAAUCCAAUUAAUUAAAAUUGGACAAUGAAUGAAUGGGUAAGAAAAAGGUAAAAGGAGAGAGCUAGGGUUUUCUGGUUAAAUUAAAAAAAAAAAAAAAAAAAAAAAAAAAAAAAAAAAGAGAGNNNNNNNNNNNNNNNNNNNNNNNNNNNNNNNNNNNNNNNNNNNNNNNNNNNNNNNNNNNNNNNNNNNNNNNNNNNNNNNNNNNNNNNNNNNNNNAAAAAAAAGGAGAGAGAUCUGAGAAGGAAAUUGGAGCGCGGGUAUUGAAAAUGGAAAAAUGAAAAUUUGGGGGAAUUUUGGAUUAUUGGUGGAUAGAAAAUACUAAAAGAAAGCGAAAAAAGAAGGGGAAAAUGGUAGAGAGAGAAUGCAUGGGAUUGGUGGAGUCAUUUCUACGCUACUCUUUUUCUCCUUUCGACGGCAGUUACCCCUCAAAAUUUCACUUGCGGGUUUGGGAAAGUGCUAUUCACGCUCCCAUUAUUUCCUAAUAUGUUUUAUUAAGUUCUUUUAGUCGAGUAUAUAAGAAUAAUAUAAAAUAUAGUGUAUCUAAGUAAUAUUUAUGUUACUUAUGCUUGCAUUUGCUAUUCUUAUAUUUUUAUUAUAUAGUAUUUAAUUUGAUGUAUUAAAAAUAACAUGAAUUACAUAAUUUUUAAAAAAAUAUUAUAAAAAUACCCUCUAUAUAUUAUAUGUUGAAAAAGAUUCAGAAUUUUUUUUAAGAAAUGAUUGUAUUUUUAAUCAUACUAAUGCAUACAUUGGAUCCAUUAUAUUAUUAAUGUCACGAAUUUUAAGAUAUUAAUAAUACACACCAUAAUACACAAUAUAUAAGUACUAAUAAUGCACAUGCAUUAUUUUUUUAAUACGCCCUAUCAAACGACCACUUAUAGGUAAUUUGGUGGGAUGUAUUGAAAAAAAUAGUGCAUGCAUUAGUUAAUGUGUAUUAUGAGUACCUUAUUUUGUACAAUUCUUAGACUAUGUAUAAUCAAUACAAGUAUUAGUUAGUUACACACAUUAUUAUCUAUUGAGAUGUGUAUUAAUAAUACACCUUAUUUUCAAUGUAUUGAUAAGGCAAAGACUCUAAACACAUACAUUAACUUAUUAAAUUUCAAAUUUACUUCUCCUUUUUAGUUUUUUUUUUUCCUCUGAUCGGCUAUUACCUUCAUUUUUUUACUCUGAUUUGUAGCUAAUGCUACCUCCAUGAAGAUCUUCGCCUCUCGUACGAGCCACGAGCAUGUUCAUAAAAUUGACGUAUGAACUAGCGUACAACCCCCCUCGUGCAGCGAUUGUGAUCCCAAAAGUUAUAAGUGUGAGAGACUAGCGUUAGAUGAUUUCAAGCGGGGUAGGGGUAGAUCGAAGAAAUACUGGAGAAAAGUGCUUAGAUGUUACAUGGAGCAGUUACAUUUCACCGAUGACAUGACCCUGGAUAGGAAGGUUUGGAGGGAAAAUACUAGGAUAGAGGGAUAAGGUGGAGGGAUGAUCGUAGUUCGUAGUUAGGAGGGUUUUGACGUCUUUUGUUUGGUAAUGUACAUUAUUCUUGUGGAUGUUGUAUCUAUGUUAGUUUUAUCAUGUUUCAUGCUUUGAAUAUUUUUGUAUAUUAUCCUGUGUCGUGAGCCGGGAGUCUAUCGAAAACAGUUUCUCUACUUCUUUAGAGAUAGUGGUAUGAACUGCGUACAUUCUAGCUUCCCCAGAUUCCACUAGGUGAGAAUAUACUGAGUUUUGUUGUUGCUGCUAUUUCAAAAGGUACAAACAAAGAAGGAUAUUUUGGUAAAUAAAUAUCCACAUUAAAUGAAGUAUUAAUACUUACAUUAAUAAUACAGUGAUUACUCCUUAGUCUUAACGUACGUGUUGUUUGUUAAUGGAGAGAGUGAAGGCCACGUAUGAUGAGUGGUUAGCUGAUUGGUGUUUGCAUUUAGUUUGAGACGUGAGGUGCUUUCAUCCAACAUCGGGAAUCGUGACUGCCAGGCUAUACGACACGUCAGCUUUAGUUUUUUUCCGGAGGUACUAAAGCAUAUUCCUAUUUUAUGUUUUCUCACAUUUUUCCAGAAAAAUAAAAUAAAAUCUGAUUAAAAUUAACAAGUACUGACCCCUAGUAAUUAUUUUUGAGUAACCUUGUACUAAGAAAAACAAAAUUAAUUAACAUUAAAAGCAGUCAAUCUCCAUUAAGCUUGUACAAGAAAAUCAAUUUAUUAAUAUACAUUAUAUUCAUUUGACAAAAUUAUAAAAGUAUUUAUCUUUGUUGUACGGCAAUAAAAUAAGGUUUAUGUUUGAUCUUCAGAUGAUGAUGCAAAAUAUUGUGAUGUAAUAGUGGAAAAUGAUAAUAAUAUUUUCUCAGCAAAUGAAAUUGCCACAACCAAAAAAUUCCACAAUAGAAAACUAAAAGUUUGAAUAUAUAAAAUAUAAAACCCCCAUUUUCAAUAUUUUCCAAAAGACUAAUGAAAAUGUAUUUGAUACCAAUAAGUUCAUUCCAUUUUUACACAUUAGGUAGGUGAUCUCAUUAUUGGGUUUGAGAGAAUAGAUUUGACGGAUAUCUUAUUUCUAUUUUGUGUGAAUAAAAAGAUUAUUUUUGAUAAAUUUUGACUUAAAAAAAAAGUGUAAAAAAUAAAUUUAAAAUAUUACAAUACUGACAAAAGUUUAAAUAAAAAUACAAAGAAAAGGAGAAGUAUUGAUAGUAAGAUAAAUAAUAUGCCCACCAAACCAUCACUGCCCCCCUAACAAUGUUCCUAAGCAUUUAGCGAUUGUUAUUAUCAAUUAGUAUUCAAUUUGUCAAGAUAAUAACAUCAAAAGCUAGGUUAGUCAUAAUAUACUGCCUUAAUUCAAUAUUUUUUGAUAUAAUUCUUAGUUCUUUUUAUUAGCUUUUUUUAUUUGACCAUUCAGUAUUUAAAAUCUAUUGGCAUGACUAAUGUGUGUUGUGUAGGUCUCAUUUAAGUGCAAGCGCCUUUCAUAAAAAAAAAAAAUCAUCAUCAAAGCUCGAAUUCAAAAUUAUGUUUGAUAUGAAAGAACCUGUCGUAAAUGAAAAUUAAAAUUAAUUUAAAUAUAGAUUGAUCUAAAAUAUUAUGGAAGAGUCAAAGAAAUAUGGAUGAAAAAACGUGUAAAUGCGCGAGGAUUUACUUGAGUAGAAUUGUUUAUUAUUUUAAGUUCUUUAGAUUAAAAACAAUUCCUGUUUUUUUUUUUUUUCAGAAUUGCACAACCUCGUGAGCAACAAGUAAUAAUGCGUAUAAAAAAUAUCCCAACACAAGAGUGUCAUAAUCAAGGAAAUAAAGUAAAAUUACCAGUAGCAUUUAUCAUAAGAACCUUUAAUAACUCAUACUAUCUCAUUUAAUUAAUACUCUACUAAUUAGAACAGUAAUGUAGUAGAUAUGAAAAAAUAAUACUCAUAAAUAACGUUUUAUUCUAUUUUAAAAGAAUUGAAAGCAGCAUGAAGCCACUAAAACUGCUCAAGUUACGAGUUAUCAACUCUGUCAAGUUGAUGUUGGUAAUUGCUUCCUUAUACUGCUUAUGGUGUGCAACCUAAAUAUACUUGGUUCGUCCUCAUCGGCCAGCUGUUGGUGAAGAGGCUGAUCUCGGAAUUCUUGUAUUAUGGCUAUAUAUUUUUUCCUCCCUCACUGACUGUGCAUUCAAUCCAUGAACUCAUGAGAACCCCAAGAACUUAUGUCCUUAUGACUAAAUAAAAAUCAUAGUGACUAGUGACACAAAAAAUCUCGCAACAUUUUGCAGUUGAGGUUCUUUUUGGAGGGAAAAAAAUAGUGUGAUAGAAAGGUAAUUGGCUGAUGUUAAAAAAAAUUAACAGUGUUGGAGUGACGACUAAAAAUGCACCUCUUUUUAAAACCAGUCAAAAGAAUAUGUAUUAUUUUGUGUCUAGAGUAAAGAUAAUGUAUGAUUUUGAGCCUUAACUUGCAAUUGGAUCACCACCCCCUGUAUUAAAGCAUAUAAUUUCGGUCACAUGCCAUGUUAGCAGCCUGUCACAAUCCUCCUCUUUCCUGGGAAUAAAACUACAUCAUCAACUCACAUGAACUUCCCUUUCAUCUUUUAAGCAAUCACAGCCAACUAUGGAGGAAAAAGAAAUAGAAUCUAGAAAAGAAUAAAAGCUGGCCAAAUCAUUUGCCAAUGCCAAAAAAAAUGAAAAAAAAAGAACUAAAGAGGAAGGAGUGGGCUCAGCUUUUCCCCCCCUAAAUACAUAGAUGAAAUGUUAAAAGAUGAAAAUAAGUUGUUAAAGUAACAACCAUAGAUACCAAGACAGCAGAAAGAAGCUAAGUUCCAAAAGGAAAAAAUACGCAGAGCGGAAGGAGGGGUGGA
rnacentral:lncRNA from 1 species